AAGGCAGAAACACAUACGGUUGGGAACAUACAAUAUCCAUCCGCAGGUAGUAGCUAGCGAUGGCAUCCGACAAGUCCAUAGCCGCUUCCCCUGCGCUCGUGUUCCUUGCCGUGGCAGCACUCAUGGUGGCCGCUUCCGUGCGCGCCCAGGCUCCGACGCCUGCGCCCACGCCGGCUCCAGCACCAACUCCGGCUCCGACUCCUGCUCCGGCACCAUCCCAGCCUGCGCCCACGCCGGCUCCAGCACCAACUCCGGCUCCGACUCCUGCUCCAGCACCAUCCCAGAGUCCUUGCCCUCCCGGCUUCUCCAACUCCACCGCGUUUAUUCUAGGGGUGAAGCAGUUCCUUAGACGCGGCAUCCUUCUGUUGGGGCCCUUCCUUGCGCCGGUCAUCCCAGGCACCAGCACCACAAAAUGCUUGUGCUAUUACUCUACCAACAUCACCACCAACGUCCAGCCCAUCGUGGGGAUCUUCCCGGUCCCGCCCAUCGUCAGGCCCAACGUCAUUGGGCCCAUCGCAUGCGUGCGUGGACCGGCCACCAUUAACUUCUAACUAAUUACUCGGAUAUUAUAUAUAAAUAUAUAAUACUAUGAAUAACGAGCUCAUCGUUUAUGUGUGUGCAUGCAUGCGUCGUGUCAGCAUGCAUGCGGAUGAGACUAAUUCGCACGUCACAGUACGCUGCGGUACUACAGGAGGAGAUGAGUUGAGUUGACCUAUACAGAUGUAACGGGGUGACAUUGUUCGUGUUGUGUUGUAAUAUGGCUAUCAGUUUGGCAGACCACUCUAAUCAUCAUUGAUAAUAAUAUUAAGUGGAUCUAUAUUGUUUUAAAAACAUUACUGCCCUCCGUUUCAAAUUACAGGUCGUUUUGAUUUUCUAGAUGCAUAGUUUUUGCUAUACACCUAGAUAUAGUAUAUGUGCAUAAUAGUAUUUACCAACUUAGAAAAGUUAAAAACGACCUACAAUUUGAAACGGAGGGAGUAUAAUGAGUAAACCCCUACGUCUAUAUCUACUAAAUAAUCUACCUCUACCAUUAUAAAAAUAAUCUAAUAAAGUAACCACCUAAUAUUAAUCUUAAUUAUCGACAUACUUCUGCCAUUAUGAAAGGUAAUAUAAUUUGACUCCAUAAAUUUACAACCAAAUAUCCACCUUUUUCAAUAAGAAAGAUCAUCUAAAGUGACCCCCUACAUUUGCAUAGAAAUUACCUAACUCAGUCAUUAUUGAAAAUAAACUAAAACAACCCCUUAGAUCUACAUGUAAAUUACCAAGAUAUGCUACUUAUGAAAAGAGUAUAAUAAAUUAAAGUAUCCCAACAUAUAUAUAUAUAUAUAUAUAUAUGCUUCAAAAUCACCGAUUUCUACCACUAAUAAUAUAUAAUAAAACAAACUUGAAGAAAGUAUACAUAUAUAUGUCUAUAUAUAUAUAUAUAUAUAUAUAAUACCAUAGUUUCAGUGGGAACCCAUUUGGUAGUCCUGGUGGGCCCAGGAUUACCAUGGGAUUUGACCAUUUUUCAAUUAGUACUUAGCCUAGCCCAAUACAAAUAGCCCGCACCUUGCUCACAGUUAGUUUUGACUUCAAUUUUUCAAUCAAUUCUCCACAGUUAUGUGAUCAUUGGUCUACUUGAAUGAUUUACAAUAAUUCUUAUGUAUCGGAUCUUGAAAGGCUACGUGAUAACUCAUAUGUUUACCAUUACAUUUUGUGUUAUGAUAAGUGAAUAUCAAUGUUUUAGUACUUUGCAAUAUUCCUUAUAGCAUACUUCUGUUACAAGGCCACAACCACAACUAAGUCUUUGUAUUUUUGAGAUUGUUUUCUUUAACAUGACAACCAUUGAUUUGUAAUAUACCAUUUAAUUUUCUCUUUUGAGUGCUUAAUUUGUCAUUUGUUGCUAUUAUAUUUUUAGUUAUGCAAGUUUCAAACUUAUAUUUUGAAUUUAAGAUAUUAUAGGAAUUUUUAAUAUAUUUGUAUUGUGAUUUUGAUUAUUUUAUACUUGUAUAUACCAUAUUUCUUGGAAAGGUAUUUCAAUUUGCAUGGCAAAUUAUACUCAUAUAUGAAAUUAUGUAUUGGUGUAUUGGCUGGCCAUGCCUAAAUUGAAAUCCUGGUCCGCCAGUGCAUAGUUUAACAAUCUUGGAAAAAGUUUCUUGAAUGAAUCACGUACCAGUGGCUCUAAGAAUGUAUUUUGGAUAAUACUAUUACUCUCUGAUAAUAUGUUAAUUGCUGCUUUAGACAAAUUUCUCAUGUUGGACGGAACAGUGUAACAUAUAUGUAUUAAUAGGUUAACUAUAAGCACUCAUUUUAAAAAUAAUGUGUACUACCACACUCAUAAUUCUUUGAUAGAGGAAAACCAACAUUUUGAGCACUACUAUGCUGCAGGCUAAAACGCCUGCUUAUUUUAUUGUAGUAACUGAAAAGUGCAGCCUUGGACCUAGAAUGAGGAAUAAUGUAGAGCCAGUCUAGGACUUCAGAAUUUUUAGAUUUUUUUUUCUAAUGCAUCUCGUGAGGAAUAACGUAGGGCUAGCCUUUAUGAUGUGCCCAUUCAUAGAUUACAUAAAUACUGUCAUAUCUGCUUCAAGCUGUCCGGGCUGUGAUAUACUGUCAUAUAAGAGAUUCUGCACAGAACCUAUUUCUGCAAUAGUUACAGUCCACAACUAGGCACACUUGAAAACUUUGCAGUGCAGUACAUCUGACUGUAACCACAGAACAGGUGAAUCGCAGCACGAGCAAACCAAGGAUAUGAGCUUUUCAGUGUAGAAAAAUUGACAAGGCAGAAUUACAGUAAAGAGACAGCUUAACCACAUGGCUUCAUGGUAGUUGCUUGACAUAAGCUCCUCUAACUUUCUAACUUAGCUGAGGCAGGGAGGCCUGCAUCGUAGCGAGCGGCGAUGUUGGUGAGGUUGCUUUUGUCGGGGACAAGCACGAAGGUAGCCUCCUUGAAGCCGAUGGUGUUGAUGCCCUUGGUGACAAGUCCACCAUUUCCAGAGCCUGCAUUCUGAGCUCCAUUGGGUAGUCCUUGACACAUCCAAUUCUUGGACCAGCCCCAGUGCUCCAUUUCAGGGACAGCCUGUGGCCAAGCUGAUAGGACUUGGACUCACCCUUGGACUUCAUCCUCUCAAGAAUCGCCUUCUGCAGGAUGCCAGUGGCUCUGGGACUUUGAAGGCCACCAGACAAGGUUCUUUGGUAGGUUGGUUUGGCUUGUUCUGCAGGAGCGUUCUCGCCUUCAUCGCCUUCUGUCAUGUUUGGAGAGGAAAUCACUUCUGGAGGAACUGAACCCAUGAAUUCAGCAGUAAGGUUCUGUGAACCAUCAGGCACCGGAUCUUCAUUGUAGUCUUCUUUGGUGGAUGAACGCACCUGAGUGGCCAAAACCAAGCACAUUAAAUGGAAUCAUCCGCAAUUUGGUGAGAGGAGCAUAUUUUAGCUUGUGAAUGGUUGAAAUGGUGUACCUCAACUUCUUUGAGAUCAACUCCAUUCUCUUCAAGGAAGUUCAUGAAAUUGCUUAGGUUCUCUGCGCUUGGUUUGUAGUGACCACUAUAGGCCCAGAUGGACUUAUCCAGAACAGAGCACAAAAAAUUAGCAGCCAAUAAGAAAGCACAGGAACAAGACAUAAUCAGAGUAUAAAAUAUUAGCAGGAUGAUAAAACAAUGAAAUGUAUGCAUGACACGCUCUUGAAAAAUUAGCCAGAUGAUAGAAUAAUGAAAGAACCCAUUAACUUGUCAUGGCUGAAUCAAGAUAAGUUGACAACUUGAUACUCCGAUGUGUACUAGAUAGAUGUAAAUUCAGAAACUACAUUUUCCCACUAUACUCCUCCAAAUUUCAGGGAAAAUAUUUUUUAUGAAUGGAUACGAGUUUAUAUUUUGUAUUUGUCCUCCAAAAAGUAUUUCAAAACAUUUAUCAAUGGUAGCUUAUGGAAUAGAAAAGAAUGAUUUGAAGGACCAUGCACGAUGAAUUCAUCAAUUCCAAGACACCAAGAGAGCUUUUUGGUCAAAGGUGCUUGAUUAAGGGAUAGGCAAUAACCCAGGCAGGAAUACAAAGAAAGCAAAAUACUAUGAUAAAAAUGCAUAAAAAGCUAACACUUAAUAGGGUAUGGUUGCUCAAAAAUACCUUGAUAAUUCCAUUUUCCGCUGUAAAUCUUCCAGCAGCUAUAGUAGUGCCUCCUGCUAAAAAGCUGGAAUGCUGGAAUACACCUCUCUCUUUCUGGAUGGAUAAAUCAGGAUACAGAAAUAGAUUUAGCGGUGCUAAACGUAAUGUGACAAAAUGAGACAUAAGACAUACUAUUGUUACAGCAGAAAUGCAAGUGCAAAACCCGUAUGAGUACAAAAGUUACCUUCCCAGCAUACAGUCUUUUUGCUGUGCUCAUAACAAAAAUCCAUUUAGUCCCUUUAGGACCUUGGCUUGUAUCAAGUGGUUCUCCAGACUGUUUGUGUAUAAUCUUUCCCUCAUUAAUGAUGUAUUCAUAGUUCUCACGCUCUUGCUGCAAGACAUUAGAUAAUUGUCAGAGCUUGUAACCCUUUGGGAGGUUUCAUUCCAAGAAAAUGUUAAGUUUGCUAAAAAGAAAUUCCUUUUGCUGUGCUUGACUAUGUAUACUAUUUUAAAGCCAAUGCACUUCUGUUAAUGGUCAUGAUUCACGGUUUAAGUGAAUAAUAGUACGGACAGAAGCAGGACAGUUCGUGCUUGAAUCUAUUCAUGUUUGGAAUCACAAUUCAGGCCUGAGGCUGCACCAAAUGCAGUUCAUAUAUGAAGCAAUUUGAUAGUAUAAGUUUCAAUUUGAGAAACAUAAUCUAGUACAAAGAUUGUAAUAUAUAUAUUUCUUAGAAAAGAUGAAUCGCAAAAGGCUUCAGAGACCAACAUAAAUUCUGCCGGUGAAGUCAGUCGAGCAAUCAUACAGCUCCUGACAGAUGCUUUGAGGAAGGUUAUAUGGCAUGAGUUCUAAACAAGGAUAGGCAGACAUUGUGGAACAUUUCUUACCGGACCAAGAUACUUAAUGCAUUGCUUCCUCAGCUUUGCUCUUGGACACUCUGGAAGGUCUAGCUCCUUUCCUUCUCCAACAUCAAGCCUGUAUGUGUCAACAACUCACUUAAAUUGUCAUGUAAUAAAACUGAACUGAAAUUCCUAGUAUAAACAGUGAUUCAACCUUAACUAAAAUAUCUGGUAUGAGCAGACAGUCAAAUAUGUCCAUCUCUCUCCCAUUUGUUAUGCAGAGUGCACUACUUUGUUCAAAUAAGAGAAUCUGCAAAUGUAACUAAGCAAAUUGCAGCAAUGUUCUUACCAGUAGAAGAAGGGCUGGCCGGCCUGGCUUUGACACCAGACAUCGUAGUAGAAGUGCAGGUUGUGCCCAUAUCUAUGCCGCGGGUCGAUCUGUACAAGAACAAAAUGAAUACUGCUAUAAACAGGCAUUGCAUCUAGUGUAUCACUCUAAGAAGAGGAGAUGUGCAUCACUUGUAUGACGUCAAUAGUGGACCUUUUAUGAUCAAUGUUCGCACAUGACUUUUUCUUUUUUAAACCGAGAAUGUUCACACAUGACUAAAACUGCUAGGUCAACUGAUACUUAAAGUAGCCUCUUCACGCACACAUGAGAGCACAGCAACAAAAUCUAAAAAAGCAAAUACUACUAAACUGACAAACAGUACUCUAGUGGGAUUUGUACGAUUUGUACUCACAGCCUCGAUCCAGUGCUGGAAAGCCAGCUUGAGAGCCUUGCCGUCUCUGGAUAAACCCUGACCCACCUGUUACAAGCAAGCAAAAUGAGCAUCAAAGGAAACAAAAAAAGAAAAACGUUUUCUGGUGAAGAAGACAGAGGACAUGAGGGACUUUUGUGCAUGUUUUCUCAGGUAGCAAUUGGGGGCACCUUGGAUGCAUUGAGGCUGACCCGGUUCCAGCGCGAGGCGGCUGUCUCCGGCUUGGGUUCGUCGAAGAAGGAGACGGUGCUGUGGCUGAGGCGCGCGAAGUCCAGCGCCUGCCACCUUCAUCCAUUCAUCCGACAGAAAUAAAAAUAAGAACCCUUCGUUUCAGUUAAAGCUUCCCCCCAAACAAAUCCUCAUCAGUUACCAUCGAUUUCAACAGCCGUUACCAUCAACAAGAACCAAACUAGGCAUUUCUCUGGGGGACACCAAAAUCGCUAAGAAAGGAGGCACCUUUUCAUGGAACAGUACAUCAAGAACCAGUGGGGGAAAAUUGUACUAGCAAUGAAGGUUGUUUCAAGAAAGGGACCGCUCUCCUUUAACAAAUCAAACGGCACGAAAUAGGAGCCGGUAGUCUCCCAGAAGAGAUGGAUAUGAGUAGAAGUACCAGAGCUCCUCGACGACGACGGCGGAGUCGGCGAGCUUCCGGCGUGUCCGGUAGCCACGGUAAGCCUUCUGCAGCUUCGUCGCGGCGCCAUCCUCGCCGCUCCCGCCGGCGCUUCCCUCCACCGGCGGCGACGGAGAUUCCAGUUUGUCCGACUGAAACCUUGGAGGAUCCGUAGAAUCCAACCCCAGCGGAGGCGGCGCCGCCUCCACCUCCAUUUCUUUGAGAUUUUAGGAGCGAGAACGGUUCUGCUUGUGCAGUCAGCACCUUCGCAAAGUGUCGAGAGCAGAGCAGGUGGGGAAUUUAAUCCGGGUUAGCACGCGAGGCGAUGGAAUAAUUAAAUGCGUUUAAUCUUGAGGAUUGAGAGAGAGAGAGAGAGAGAGAGAGAGAGAGAGAGAGAGAGAGAGAGAGAGAGAGGAGGGGGUCGUAUCGUAUCUCAUUCGCCGGGGUGGUACGGACCUGCGGAUACGACGACGACGAGUCGUUGGCGCCACCUACCGGCUGUCCGGCUCUGUGCUUUCUGUUCCUUGGCGGGUGGCGCCAUUACUGCGCGAGGCGUGGCUGGCCCACAUGUCAUGGAGUGAUUAGCAGCAGCGCCAUGAUGACCAAGGCGUACUUGCUAGGACGACUAGCUACUAGCUACUGGUGCUAAUGGAAGACUGACUCUGACUCGGUGAGGAAGCUGGCACACGGCUGUGUGGGCGGUGACGGCCUCGACACCUGUCGCUCUCCGGCGCCUCCGCGCCGGAUCGGGACCGGUCGCCGUCGUUGUCGUCGACGGGCUGCACGCCCCCGUACGCGCGCACUCUGUGCUUUUUGUGCCUGUCGUGGCUCCUCUCUGCUCUCCGUUGCAGAAUCUUGUGCUAGGCUGCUAGCAUAGCACACACAACUCAGCUGACAGAGGUACUCCGUACUAGGCACUGCACCAACUCAGCUGACGGAGGAAUUGGAUACGUGAUAGCAGUGUCACGUGAGAUGUUAUAAAACUAAUGCAGAACUUCUAAUUCGCGAGACGAAUCUAUUAAGCCUAAUUAAUUCAUAAUUAACAAAUGGUUAUUGUAUCACCACAUUUUCAAAUCAUGGACUAAUUAGAUUUAAUAGAUUCAUCUCGCCAAUUAGACUCCAUCUAUACAAUUAGUUUUGUAAUUAUUCUAUAUUUAAUACUAAACAUCCCAUCCAACAUCCCAUCCAACAGUUUCCCAUCCAACAGUUGACUCGCAAGCCCCGCAGGCCUUCGAGAAUGGAGCCUGCAAACCCGAUGCCGAUGGAACGCACGCCGAGGUCAACGUACGAGAACCAAGAUCGCAUCACGGCCGGGGCGUGUGCGUAUACGGAAGGGAAAUAAAGAGCUACCUGCUCCCCAGAGAACAGGUCGAUCAGUCCAAGCUGUGAUAGUAUAAUGUUCCGGACCCAUAAUAUUAUUAUUAACAUUCAGGCUGCAGGCAGGGCCCAGCUGCACGUCACGGCCAACGGCCAACGGUGAGAAAGUCAGAGCUGGUAUUCUUGUACAGUUCUGCACCCAAUCAUGUGUCUGCCAAACAUGCAUCACACCGUCGCAUCACGUCUCGCUUCAGCCUUCACUUAUCUCGGUUUUGCACAGGCAACCUCACAUGGUCUUCCUCUGAUUUCUCCGGACUAGCGGAUGCAGAUGAUGGCAUUUUGUUUGACCCUCCGACGCAGGGACGGGUUAGGAUAGGAUAGGGAGAUUAGGGAGCAGCUAAGUUAAUCGAUGGACAAAAUAUUAAAACAUAUAUUUAGCUCUUAAAAGAAACAAAUGGACCAUGAGGGCGGAGCCUACUGCCUCCAUCCCUGUUCCGACGUCCUGCAGUUGCGUUUUAUCCAUCGAUCUACGUGACAGGGACCGUGGUAUCCUGUCCAUGAGAUAACCCAUCUCUACGAUAUAGAUACAGAUAUGCAUUAAAAUGGCUAUUAGAGCAUCUCCAGCAGAACUAUUAUAUUGCAAGAGUUUGUAAAAAAAAGUGCUCGGAGAGACUUUUUUCCCCAAUAAUUAUUAGAACAACCCAAUAAUUCACCCCAACUUUUUUUUUUAAAAAAAGGAGAAGUUUAACUAUCAAAUACGGUAGAAGUUGUAACUAUCCCAAGUCUUCCGGUAACAAUGAAAUGGAUAUUGGGAUAUCCCCAUUAAUUAGUUAUUAGAAAAUAUUUAUUGCUCUUAGGACCCAAAAAUAGCGAGCUAGUAUAAAAAUCGCAAUAUCUAAUAAUUAAUUUUUCCCAUCUACGUACUACAAUUAAGAAAUACAGCGGUCGAUAUAUCACAAAAUUAGAUCAUUCCUGCACUAGCACGUGGCACGGUAGUACCCUACUUCCCUUGUGUUCAUUACUCUAUUAACCCAAUUGCUUGGUAACCACUACAUAAAGAUACACUGGUUGAUCCACAAAAUCAUAAGAAAAAACCAGAUAAAAAGGAAAAGAAAAGAGAGGUUAAAAAUAGGGAGCAAGGACCAGGGACGACGAAGCGAGGUGACGGUGGCAACACCAUCCGAGCGGUAGAGGCCAUCCGGCGGACAGAAUCAGCACGGGAGCGAGACUGCGAGCAUGGGCAGUGGUUAGGAAGGGUGGGGGUGGUCGAGUGGAGAUGUGGAGUCUGAUUGAUUUUAGCAAGUCAAAGUUUUGGCAAAUCAAUCUUUUAGCUACUAUUUAGUUUGCUUCUAAAAUUUGCCAACAUCUUUCAUUUAUUUUAUUGAAAUAUUGGCAAACUUAUUACUCAUCUUUUAGCUUGCCAAAAUUUUAGCACGCCCAAAUUUUGGCAUAUCAAUCAUGCUCGUGGUUUCAGGAGGCGGAGAGAACCACCGGUCCGGGAGCGAGACUACGGGCAUGGGCAGUGGUUAGGAAGGGUGGUCGGGUGGAGAGUGGAGUCUGAUUGAUUUUAGCAAGUCAAAGUUUUGGCAAAUCAACCUUUUAGCUACUAUUAUUUGGUUUGCUUCUAAAAUUUGCCAAUAUCUUUCAUUUAUUUUAUUGAAAUAUUGGCAAACCUUUUGCUCAUCUUUUAGCUUGCCAAAAUUUUAGCACGCCCAAAUUUUGGCAUAUCAAUCAUGCUCAUGGUUUCGGGAGGCGGAGAGAACCACCGGUACGGUGUUGAAGAUAUAAAGUUGCACGUGCAGUUCGCAUGUUGCCAUAACCAAUUUAGGGCAAGUACAUUAGUGUUAUCUAAUAGGGGGUCUCAUGCAUUGACACGUAAUCUUGAGAUGACUUAAUAAACAAUCUGUACCAUGUCUUUUUAAGUUAUCUUAUAGUAAUUAUAUUUUCUUAAUUUGUGCAUAGAAAAAGAAAGAAAUAUUGUGAGUUGCAUGCAACCACAAGUCGUACAAUAAUGGUUGAGUAGUCAUCUUAUAAUCCUAAAAUCUAACCUAUGAGGUGGUUAUUUCGUGAAACAAUAACCUCUUUCUCUUUCACCAUCCUCUCUCCUCCGCAUCAUUAAAAAUCUCACGUGGCAUUAUAUGAGACUGUAGUGUAGCAAUGUACAAUGAACUUCACAGGUCAAAUAAAAGAAUUUGAAGGCCUUCUUAUAACGUUGGGCUUUUCCCUUAUGGACGACGGCCCAAAGCGACACUACUAAUUGGAUGGAAGUACAGAUGAGGCCCAAAAGCACCAUUCUGCGUGAGCAACAGGCACAGCGCAUGGCGACUGCCGACAUGUGAACAACGCACGGCCGUAGUUCAGCAGAAAUGUGACUCUGCUAAAAGAAGGCAGAAAUGUGACUUGAGUCUUAAAAAAAAAAGAAAUGUGACUGUGAGAUUUAGAAAUGUACGAUUUGUGCAAAGACUAGGAUGCAAUGCCACUCGAUCCCCUGCACCUUUUCUUCGAAAGCAAAACAUGCAAUUAUUUGACCUCAAUCAUAGAGAAAUGAAUAGGCCAUUAGGACAAGGGGAGUAGUACGUACGAGGUAGCGUCGCAACUGGGAUUGCUUCGUUUUGUAGGCCGUCAUGCACAUGACUUAGACUGUGUUAGCAUAGAUUCUUUUCUUACAGAAACAGGUUUCCAGCCCCCCGGCUUAAUCGGGUGACGCGUGCACUAUUAUCAGUAUAUUACCACGACAUAUAAUGUACAGCUAAAGCAGCUGACGAUCGAGCUGACCCUGAAAACCUGCGAUGGAUGAAGGAAGCUUCACAUAGCUGGAAAGCAGUAGUCCACGGGUACGUGUCCCGGUAUAAAGUUCAGUACGUGCAAGCAUGGACGCGUAUACAAGCUAGGCAUCAUGUACACUUGGGAACGUCGCCAAAAUCCCGUCUUGAACUAUACGCAGUGCCCCGUGAAGUUAGCUGAUAUACGACCUUUCCAUCGCCUAUAAAUUUGGAGCAAUCUUGCAUGAAACCAUAUCCCAUCACAUUCGGCACCACUGCGGCUAGCUCCACAGCCACAGUGCAGUGUGCUUUUCUGUAGUCCAGAUGGCUAGGCUGGGGGCAUUGCUUCCUUUGGCCCUCGCGGCUGUCGUCCUCCUGCUCGCCGUCGCCGUGGACGCCGCCACGCCUGCCGCCAGGCCACCCAAGGCCCAGGGGCCGAAAGACCCGCAGCCACCGCGGAACGAGAAGCCCAAGCCGAAGCCGAUGAAGGUCAAGUGCAAGGACCGCAAGCUCUACCCUUACUGCUAUGGUAAACCCAUGGAGUGCCCCGCCGAGUGUUCCCAGUCGUGCUACGCCGACUGCAACUCCUGCAAAUCCGUCUGCGGUAAGCACGCUAGCUCCAUCUCCCUUGAUCUUGAUUGACGACGACGCAUCUAUUGAUCUUGUCCAUCUGUUCUGAUAUGCAGUGUGCAGCGUUCCGGGGGCCUGCGGCGACCCGCGGUUCAUCGGCGGCGACGGCAACGCCUUCUACUUCCACGGCCGGAGGGACGCCGACUUCUGCGUCGUCUCCGACCGGGACCUCCACAUCAACGCCCACUUCAUCGGCAAGCGCGGCGCCGACGGCAUGUCUCGGGACUUCACCUGGAUCCAGGCCAUCGCCGUGCUCUUCGACGGCCACCGCCUCUACGUCGGCGCCCGGAAGACCGCCGCCUGGGACGACGACGUCGACCGCAUGGAGCUCGCCCUCGACGGCGUGCCCGUGAGCCUCCCGCAGGAGGUGGACGCGACAUGGACGUCCAGCGCCGUGCCGAUGCUGUCGAUCACCCGCACCAAGGCGGCCAACGGCGUGCUCGUCGUGCUCGACGGCAAGUUCAAGAUAAGGGCCAACGCCGUGCCCAUCACCGAGGAGGAGUCGAGGGUGCACCGGUACGGCGUCACCACCGACGACUGCCUCGCGCACCUCGACCUGGCCUUCAAGUUCGACACGCUCACCGGCGACGUGCACGGCGUGGUCGGCCAGACCUACCGCUCCGACUACGUGAACGGGUUCGAUGUCAAGGCAUCCAUGCCCACCAUGGGAGGGGAGAGCAACUUCGCCACGUCCAGCCUCUUCGCGCCCGACUGCGCCGUGGCGCGUUAUCACGCACCAGCUGGUCACCGUGGUGAUGGCGUUGCAAUGGCGUGAGAGCUCGCUGGCGCCAUCACCUGUGCCAGUGUGGUGUGUGAGGAGUAACUGAAGGUGUACCUCUACUUAUUAUAUACUGCAAGCCCAAGAGCGGGGUAAACUACGAUGUUGUCGGAGUUGUACCAUGCAUGCAUGUUUGCAUGGUCGUGAAAUUCACAGUAAUAAACUUGCUAUUGGUUGAUGUGUUCAUGGAAAAUUAUAAUGUCAAUUAUAUUGGUGACUUAUAUUUUAAUGCAUCCUUUUUAAUUGAAUUUUUCCGUUGGCUGACCUAGAGUCUUUGUAUUCAGUAGUAGCGGUCGCUCAAGUUAAGGUUUGGAUUUUACUUAGAUCAAUAUAUCUUUGAACAGUGGUCGUUUUCAUUGGUCAGUGAGAUCCCAACUUCAAGUGCUAAAUCAAAGUUGUCUAUAAAUAGAGAAGAAGUGGUCCUGCGAUUGUAAGAUUCGGAUCAUAUUGAUUGGAAGCUGGAUCGUUCGUGUCAAGUCUCCACCAAAUGAGGAGAUAACCUCACCUCCGAUCGGGCACCCUACUUCCCAUCAGAAUCAGCGUCCAGAAGCUCCUUCCUAGAUUCAUCCUGCAGUAUGUUCGAGAAGAAUGUAACGAGGCAUCACAAACAACCAAUGCAACCAAAUCAUCCAAAGCAGUCAAGUAGUUAGCCGUUUAUAUGUAUCCACUUGGGGAAAUUAUUCUAGGUAGCCCCGCUGGUUGGUCCCCAAGAAUAUAUCCAUCUACUUGCAGUUUUCAUUGCUCCUCCUCGAUAUUGUACUGCAGUGCAGGCCUUACCUGCAACAGGAAUGGAUUAGGAGGAAGAAGCUAGUAAAUCGGAGCCUCCUAUCCUAUUUUUAUAUAUAUUUUGAUGAAGUAACAAAAUCAUAUAUACAGCAAGUUUAGGUGAAGAUGCAUGAAUUGAAAUCGGAGGGUGGUCGCCGGUCACGGGCCAGCAGUGAGCACUGAGCAGCGAUCAGGCGGUGACGAGUGGGUGAGAUGGCGAGUGGGCUGCAACUUCUUGGCUGCUGCCCAAAGCCCACUCACCAACCUCAGUCCAGUCAGAUGCUAUAGACUAUGUUGAUAAUACUCAUGCCGAGGAUGAAAUAACCAAAAUGAAACACAACAGAAUUCAUAUUGCUAGGUGAUAACACAUUAUACAACUGCUGCCAACGCAAUGUUCUAUGUCGCUAUAUAAAUUCAGCAUGGCAAUAAUAUACAUGACCAAAAGCAAAGCUAAGUUUAUCACUAGAACCAACGUAUACAUUAGCAACAUCACAUUGUCGAAACAAGUGACCAAGCGACCAUAAUAUCUAAUGUGCAGAAGCCAAGGCGGCGAAGAACGCCAUGGCUUGCACCACCCUUCUUAGCCUUACAAGACUUGUUCUUGUCCACCACAAUUUCCUCACCUCGCCCUGCCUUCACACAAACCUCCAACACAAACCUGGCCUGACUCGCAAGGAUAUAGUUGCCUCCACCGAAUGAACAAUAGAGCCAAGCUCAAACUCCAGCGAAGUCAAGUUGCGGUAAGGUACUGCUAGAAAGCUCAUGCUUUCAUCCUCAGAUUGAGUAGUGCCCUUAACUUUCAGGUCAACCUCAAAUGUCACAGGGUCCACCAAUACAACGGCACGGGUAGGAUCUGUCAGCUUCAAAUGUGGAUCCUAUCUGCAGUGCAGCACCAUUAAAUAAAUACUAGGGUAAAUGGAAGUGAAUUUCAAGAGGUUACCAGCAUAACAAACAAUACAGAACAUUACAAAUCAGUAUUGUAAACACGAAGUGCACAACAGAAAAGACGCCGUAAAAUUAUUAGUUUGGUGCAUCAUCGACAGACAAAAAAAAAACACAUUUUACCAUUGGGAGGACUAGUAUGAUUGCUUCGUCAGGUAGUGAAUAGGAAAGCAAGAAGCAACAAUCAAGGCAGCGAACAACUGGUAAUUAAGAAAUAAUUAUACAGACCUCUUGGGUAAGGAUUUGGCAGCUCUCUCUCGGGCAGUGAAAGAUCAUAUUGCGAUUGUGAUCAACUACAUCACGUACAGCAACCUUGCCAAACACAUGCAUGGAGUGGCCACUGUAAUCCUUCUCUUAACUUUGCGACUUUGAGUGAAUAGAUCUGCCGGGCCGCCCAAUCAAAAAGAAUAAAUGGGCCAAGCUUGGACCGCUCGGAUUUUUUCGGGUUGGCAAAAUGACACCACGUCCGGCCCUAUAAAGACCACGGGCUGAGCUUAGCCCAACGGGCUUGGGUCGAGCCGGGCCGCCCAAUCAAAAAAAUCGGGCUGAGCUUGAACCGCCCGGAUUUUUUCAGGCCGGCAAAAUGCACACCACGUCCGGCCCUAUAAAGGCCACAGGCCGAGCUUAGCCCGGCGGGCUUGGGCUGAGCCAUUGGGCCAGGUCGGGCCGAGCCACAUUUGCUCAGGUCUAGUGCACAGCAGUAAAUAAACGUAGCUAAUAAAAAGUGCUCAGGUCUUGCUGCUAUUCAGUACUAAUAGCUAACAACACAAAGCACUCUCAUAUCUAGUUAUCUGCUCCGUCCUCUGCUGGUGGCGCCCAAGACUAUCAAUCUAGUAUUCAGGUUCGUUGGCACUCAUAGCCUGCAUGCGGAUAUUGUGCUAUGUGCAAUGAUAAGAAUUGAAGCUAACGCCAUAAUAGAUUUUAAAAAUCAUUUCAUUUGGUCAGUUCCACUAAUAUCUUCAUGCAAUUGUCAUGCUAUCCUGAAUGUAUUAAUAUCUCUAUUUACACUUUGCUUUUGAAAAAAACAACUAUAUAUGUACUAGAUUGUCUUACCAUAUAACAGAGCACAUAAGGGUGAGUAUGCGUGUGUGUGUUAACUUCUUCCUCUACACAAUUUUCGCAAAAAUAUGAUAGAGAACUAGUGUUUAUUUUAGAGAUGAUUGAGGUGAAAGUAAAUUUGGUAUCCAUAAAUAUAUAUUAGCAGUGGAAUAUUAAAUUUAAUUAAGCAUUUAAUUUACAUAAGUAUGAAACUAAAAGUUUGUUGCAAAAUUUGAAAAUUAUAAAUAAUCAAUAUAUAGUUAUACCUUAUGUGCAUAAUGCAGACUUCAUAUUAUUUAAUAAGUAUCAAAAUGUGACACUGGCAGAAAAAUACUUCUAUCCAAUGCAAGGGCUCCUUUUCUCUCCAUCUGCCAAAACCCUCACAAGCCCACUCUCCAAUGGUAUGCUCAUUAGCGUCCGUCCGUCCGUCCGUAGUAGCAAUCUACUUGUAUGUACACCUGUAUGUACUCUCUGAUGCUCAAUGUAAGUUUGGGCUUUCCAAUUGCUAAGCAUGCUACACCUGUAUGAACUUGUGAUGCUGCAUCACGUGCCAUCGAUUCCAUUUAUCAUCCAUGAUGCUGCUGCUGAGCUAGCCAUUUCAAGGGAUGCACGUCUGGGUCGUGCUCAAGCCAUGGCACCUGUAUUGCUCGGACAGCAGCGUAUUCCAGUGACAGUACUUGCUAACCCUUUUACCACGGAUGCCACUAGGUCACCUCGCAUUAGCUACCAUGGCGUUCUGAUGCAUGACGUGGACAAUGUUACAUGCAAGGUGAUGCUCUUCUUCCGGGACACUGACUGGUACUUUGUCAGCUUUCAGCGUUGCGUGGUGGUUGUGUUGCCUAAUGACAGUCUACAAGAAAACUGGGGGGUGGAGAUUCUUCUUCAACGAUCUCGUCAAGGACAAGGAGGUUCCAGCAUUCUUGUAUAUCGUGAAGAUGGGCAUUGGAUUGUCUCACUCCGACAAAGGGUAAGGACGCAGUUUCAUUCAUCCAUCCAUAUUUAUUUGUUUUGGUCCCCAUGCUUGCUUUUUGAUGUUUUGGUAUAUUAUUUGCUGAAUUAGUAAUAUGCACUGUGCAAAGACUUUCCAGGCCCGAGGCUAUGGCUGACCUCUUCAACACGCUGGUCGGAUUUGAAGAUCAAGUAUACAUUCACAACAACGGGACAAUCGGAGAGGUGAGAGGAUUGACUCCAGCCUUGGAAGAUGACUUGAAGAUAGCCAUCAGCAGGAUCAUCAUUGUGUUCUGUGAGGCCAUGAGAUUGAGAUCCAUCUACCUCCUCACCCACGCCAGCCUUGGCGGCCAUGAGUACGCAACCCUCUUACCGUUCGCCUGUGGAACCUCUUGCGCUCAUGGGGGAAGUUGUCAGAUUACGUGCUGAGGAUGAGGAGGCAGGGUAGCAUGGACCUCAACAAUGAGAUGGAUCCACUCAAUGCCGACUUGUCAUCCCACGGGUUCCCAACAAUGACCCUCAGUGACUUGAUUGGGCCAAAUGGGGAAGAUCGAGGUAGUACGAAUCAUCAACCUAAAGAACCUGAGCAAUCGUUUAGCCAAGCGAGGAGCGAGGACCAACUUCCCCGAACCUAACUUUGUCAUGCCAGCCACUCCAGAAGCAGUAGGAUUAGGAGGAGGAAGAGGGAGAGGUAGGGGGAGAGGAGGAUGAAUGAAUGUGAUCUUAUCACCAUUUAUUUGUGUUAGUUUAACUUUUGAGCAGAGAACAUCGACUACUUCUGCUUAAUGCUUAUUAACCUCUCCUGGUUGAACUUAAGAAGAUUCAUUCAAACUAGAUUGCAUCUAAGUCAUAUUUUUGGAUAAAGCUUUCAUAUUUCGCUAGCAUCUUGCCCCUUCUGUGGUUGUCUAUGAUUCUGCUCUGCAUGAUCUCUUGAUGAAUAGCUUGAUGGGCCGCUGCCCUCUAUUGAGCGCUAGGCUAAACCUAACCCUAAGAAUGGCGUAUCCUAGUAGCCUACCUGUAUGCGGCAUGGAAACUAGAAAGAAAAUAAUUGAAGAACUUGGUGAUGAGCCCUAUGCAAUUUUAGCUGAUGAGUCCAGUGAUAUAUCACAUAAAGAACAACUAGCUCUUUCCUUGCGUUAUGUUGAUAAACUUGGAAGGCCUUGUGAACACUUUAUUGGAGUUGUUCAUGUAGAUGAUACUACCUCUUUGUCACUUAAGGAAGCUAUUGAGGGUUUACUUGUUAGUCAUGGAUUGACUAUGACUCAAAUUAGAAGUCAAGGUUAUGAUGGGACUAGCCAUAUGAAAGGAGAUAUUAAAGGGCUAAAAAUAUUGAUCAUGCAAGAAUCACCUUCUGCGUAUUAUAUUCAUUGCUUUGCACAUCAACUCCAACUAGUUCUUGUUGCUGUUGCCAAGAGAAAUACUGACUGUAAGAGUUUUUUUUGAUUAAGUAUCUAUCUUAUUGAAUAUUAUUGGAGUUUCUUGCAAGCGUCAUGGUAUGCUUUGAAAUGCUAGGCUUGAGAAUAUCAAGAAAGCACUGGAGUGUGGUGAGCUUGAAUCAGAGUGAUUAAAUCAAGAGAUGAGUUUGCCUAGGCCUGGUGAAACUUGAUGGGGUUCUCAUUACAAAACUAUAUGCGACAUCAUUACUACGUAUUCCUCAAUCCAUGAUAUGCUCAUUGAUCUUGGUGAUGAUAUUUAACAUAAGGAUGAUUGGACAAAGAUACAUUUUGUGUUGGAGCAUUUGAAACCUUUGAGUUCGUUUUCUUUGUGCACUUAACAUAUGUUAUUCUUGGAUACACAGAUUGAGUUAUCCGAGUGUUUGUAGAGAAGGGAUCAAGAUAUUCUUAAUGCGAUCCCCUUGUUAAUGUGGCAAAGAACAAAAUGCAACAAUUGAGGUCUGAUGGUUGGGACCACUUCCUUGAGAGGGUUAUUUCUUUUUGCAUUAAACAUAAUGUUGAAGUUCCUGCUAUGGAUGGUGAUUAUGUGCCGUAUGGAAAAUCAGCAAGGUAUGCCCAUGCCUGAAACCAAACAAAUGAUGACCAUUUUAGAAGAGAAGUAUAUAUUGGUGUCAUUUAUCAAAUUAGUCAAGAGAUUGAUAAUUGGUUUGAUAAGAUCAUUAUGGAGCUACUUUCUUGUAUGUCAACCUUCAGUCCUUCCAAUUCAUUUGCUUCGUUUGAUGCACAGAAGGUACGUAGAUUGGCUGAAUUUUAUUCUAAGGACUUCUCCAACAAUGAUUUGCUAAAACUUGAAUUGCAACUUGAUAAUUAUAUUGAUGACAUGCGACGAGAUGAUAGCCUCAAGGGUCUAGACAACAUCGUUGAUCUUUCAGUUAAGCUUGUUCAAAUACGGAGGCACAAAGUGUAUGAUAUGGUUUACUUGCUUCUCAAAUUGAUAUUGCUUUUACCAGUGGCAACAACGAGUGUUGAAAGGUUAUUUUUUACAAUGGUUAAAGUGAAAAUAAAGUCAAGGAAUAAGCUAGGUGAUAGUGUUUUGGACGAUUGUCUAGUCACAUUCAUUGAGCGGGAUAUUUUGUUCCAAGUGAAUGAAGAAGAUAUAAUCAAGAUAUUCACGUCAUUCAAAAAAUGGCGGGUAAACAAAGCAGACAAGUAAUAGUGUAAGUUUCUUUUAUGCUAUAUUUUGAACAAUUUAUAUUGUGAUUUGUUAUUGUUUCUAGCUUAAUCUUUGAAUUUACCGAAUUGUAAAUGGUUUCACUGAAUUGCAUAAGAUUUUUUUUCGACGUACCCUGUGGUAAAAUCCUAGGUCUGCCACUACCGGUCAUCCAUGAAUAGCAUGUCUUCGAGGAUGACUAGGUACCUCUGAUUGCUUAUUUUUUUUGAUCAAAUAUGAUGAGUCCACUUUCUGUCGCCUCUAUCAGCCUCAAGACAUCCAUAUUGCUUCCUUGUGGUCUGUAGUUUGUGUGGAAUUGAAUCAGCAAGCUCUGGAUGAUCGAACUUGUUGAGAUUGAAAGAUGCAUCAGCUUCACCCAAGCACGGCAUCUGAAAUAUUGACAAAUUUCAGGGUCAAAGUAGGCCUUCUUGAUUACGAAUGCUGUCCCAAGAUCGCUUCCUGUUCCCCACACCGAGAUCACUUCACUUGAAGGGGACCAUCCUCUUUGUUGAUCAGCUUGAUGAGAUCCACUUGGCUGCUCUCACAAGCUGGGUCUCUUGCAUGAAGGCUGCCCAGUGCUGUUGCGUUAGCCACUGCCUGUGGAUGCAUAUGCUCUGACGACUCAAAGCUCGAGUCACCGAUAUGGCUGUAGCGUAGGUUCCUGUGUUCCAUAGCCUUGAGCAGGUCUACGGUGGCAACUACAUCAUCCAGGGCCACCAGCGGCACUGCUGCCAGCAUGACCCGUUGUCCAGUUGGGCGACAGAAUCGAUGCAAUCCUCGACAUCUAAGGCCAUGUUGCGGACCUGCUUCACCAAUGUCCUCAUCAUAUCGAUCAUUUGUAGCACGCUCCGUGGUGACGAUGAGGAAGGAGUGCAUGAUCUCAAACUCAUCUGAGAUAACAAUCAGGCCCUGGUUCACGCUCUUCUGCAACUGUUUCUCCUCCUCAAUGGCCGAUUUGGCCAUGUUAAGUGUACCCUCUACUGCCGUCUUGGCCAAGCCAAGCACAAAGUCCGCCAUUGCUUCACUCUCUAAUCUCUAUGUUUGUCCUGCUCCAGUGGUUACGGUGUGUGUGUGUGGGGAACUUGAAAGGGUAAGCUGGCAUGGAACACUAUAUAACUAAUGCUAGAACUACUUCAUGUUCAAGGUGUGCAAAGAAUCAACAAAGUAAGCUGCACGAAAUUUCACAGGAACAGACAGACAAGAGUGGAUGGUGAAGAUAAGAAAAAAAAAUAUUCCUUGUCGAUGUUCGGAGAAUAGAAUAUAUGGACGCUGCAAAGAAUAUUUUACUUUCCGAUUUGUGAAAAAGACUAAAUAAACUCAUCUACAAAAAUUUCAAACAAACAGCGAGACGCACUAGCAACAAAGAACCGGCAUCCCGCGGAAAUAUUCUCAUGUAGGUCAAACCCAACCCACAUCCCUUUUGAACCAAACACGGGACGAUGUAGGUCGAACCUGUUCCGAUUCACAUCGAUCCGGUAACCAAAUUCACACUAAAAGCACGUAAGGUAACUUUAUUGGCCCAGCACACAAACUUCCUUCUUUCCAUAAGAUACUCUCUUCCUCCAACAAGAUUCCAGACUCUUUUCCUCAACAAGAGUCCUGCAGUUUCACUGGUACACAUCAGUGGCUGCCUUAAUCAUACAAUUGUUUGUGUAGCUUACAAUAAUUAAUAAGGUAUCAUCAAAACUGGAGUUGUUCAAUUCUUGCCCCUUCAGAUAUCAAGAUUAACAAAAAGUAAGACGGUGGGAUUCAGUUUUUAGUGCGACAGGAAUUGGUACCGGCAGCAAUCAGAUUAAAACAUCCAUAUUUAUGUUCAAAUACAAUGUGGAAAAGAAAAAAACAAAUCCAAACAACAGAUCUCCACCGAGCCAUAUAUAGGCAUUGCUCUGAAGCCACUAGGCACUAGCAAUGAAGACUGCAACGGUUGGCGCCCUGCAAUGCAUGCCCUUGCCAUAAGAUACUGAUGAUCAAGGGCCGGCUUAUAGCGCUUAUAUUAGAACAGAGAGAGUAUACAUGAAUCUUCAGUAUCUAACUCGUAGGUACAUAAAAGUAUAGAGCUCAAAUUAACACUAUGGGAUUAAUGAGCCCAAAGUCCAAGAUAAGGUAGUAGUACUAAAAGGCCCAUUUAAACCGGUUGGCCCAAAAUCUGGUAGCUACAGUACAAUUAUGGAUAUGACUUGAGUUAGUAUGGCCCAACGCGUUGCUAAUAAAAUAACCAGACCAGUGGAAGAUCCAGCCUUAGAGAGCCUAGGGGGCUCUUCUCCCUUUUUCUUCCUUGGCUUCCUCUUUCUCUCCCUUUCCUUCAUUCUCUUCCGUGUCUUCUUUCUUUCUCCAUAAAGAUGGUGUGUGUGGGUACCAACUAGGAUCAUGUCAGGUAUAUUGUUUAAUAUUGGCGAGCCAUGUCCGUUAUCGCAAUAUCAGUGGAAGUAUCAGGUUUAUGUUCGUCAGAAUGUUGGUGCAGUGGGUGACCCAGCUGUUGUAUCUUGCUGGACCUUCUACCUGGACUGAAAUGAGAAGGGGGUGAGCGGUAUCUUCUGAGUCUUUGCGGUCAUAAAGUCCACACGGGGACGACAACAACAUUUCUGGACAGCGUAACUGUGUGACAACUCGAAGCUAUUCGUCUAUGUUUUGCACUGCAACAAAUCAUCAUUGCAUCCCACUGUCAUUACCAAGCCAUGUCUUGAUGAUCCCACUGUUCUAUUAUUGAUGGACAGACAAUUGAAAACAGAUCAUACAAAGUAUAGUGAGCGGUCCCUUAUCUAGAUAUCUGAUAGUAUCUCGAUUUCACAAAAUUAACGCUCCACGGCUCACUAAAUAAGGGAGAAAGUAAAUAAAAUCUCUCCAACUUUGAUCUAAACAAUGUGAUGCAAACGAGCUUUGUGCACAAAGAAGAUCACACAGCACAUGUUCCAGCAACAACUUGUACCUGUGUUCCUGGAACAAGCACAUCAAUCGGAUUGCUUUGUUUAUCCGAGCUACCUGUUAAAGAGGUUGCUACUCUCUAGUAACUGUCAGGUUCAGAGAAAGACCUAAAGAUUGAAGUCAAUCUCUUUGCCAACUAACACGAUUUUUUUGGAAUCCCAACUUUGCCACCUACUGUAGCUCGUCUGGCACAUGGGUACAUUUCAGUUGUGUUCUUAUGUUGCUAUCUAUAUAGCCUAUAUGGUAAACAAACAACUAUCUAAUCACUUUUAAGGUACAAAAAGACAUGUUAUUCUUCCCAUGAGGCUAUGAUGAUCAGCAGCUUAGGGCAAAUACAAAUCUCACACUAGCAAGAACAAGGUGCAAUAGAGUGGGUUCUGGAUGAUUCGCAGAUGUUAGACAACUCUGAUGGGCCAUGUUCUUGCAUUUGAUGUUCUUGGAUGGUUGUAAAGUUGGAUGGAGAGAACGAAACAAAUCUCACCGUCGGAGCAUGCUUCAACUUUACAACCAUUCAAACUCUGAAAAGAUGGCUCCAUUGAUUGCCUCAAAGAGUUGUGAACAAGUAGCCAACAUGCCAAACCACAGAUCCUCCAACUUCAUCACUAAAGGAGGAGCUAGUAUCUCAUAUUUUUUUCCUCAAAUAACUGGACACAAAUGGUGAGAAGGUUCAGCAACUAACCAAUAUAAUGCUAUAGAAAUUACACGUCAUAGGCAUGUGUGUCGUUUUCAUUGGGCACCUUCUAUAACAACCGGUUGUUUGUUUGUGGAUUUUGGUCUACGAUGUGGCCCCAAAUCUCCUCCAGUUUGUAGCCAUUCUGGCAAUGUGAUGGUGAUUUCAUUGUGCACGUUGCAAAAUAAGCUGUCGAGUUGGCACCAACUAGGAUCUGGUAUGCUUUUUUUUUUUUUGCCAUGCUGCAUCAGUUGCGUUCCCUGAAUUGCAUCAACGACUAAUUAUGUUGGAACUUGGAAGCAUCUACACAAUCAAUAAUUGAGGUAUCACUGUAUCAGGUUUGCAUAGAUGACUCUUGUCAAUGACACAGAACUAAACUACAAACAAAAUUAUAUCGGCUACUGUAAAAGAGUUGAAAUAUAGAAAUUUUAGAAUGAUUGGGAAAAAUGAGAGCCGUCCAUCCCGAGAAAAUCUAAUACUCCCUCUGUUCCAAAAUGUAGGUCGUUUUGAUAUUUUUAGGUUCAUAGAUUUUGCUACGAAUCUAGAUAUAGUAUAUAUCUAAGUGCAUAGCGACAUCUACGAACCUACAAAAGCCAAAAUGACCUACAAUUUGAAACGGAGGGAGUAGUGGAAACAAAGGAAGUACAUUGAAGUACCUAAAGAAAAGUACCAAAUUGGUGGGAUCAUGUACAAAAAAUACUCCUUAAAUUUAAUUUUUAAUUUUUUUCCCGAUGAGACGGUGGAAACAAAGGAAGUUGAAAUACCAACAAGUACCAAUGGGUACUUUUAAACUAUUGUAAAAGAGUUGAAAUAUGGAAGUUGGGAAAGGGUAGGGAGGAUUCAAAGAAAAAGGACAGCUGCAAAUGGCGCUGGAGAUAAACUGGGAAACAGGACAUGGAGACUUCUAUGGAGAUAGCAUAAUGUAUGCAUUAUCUUAGGAAUCGGGUGUCAUUUUGCAGCACGUUUUAGUUCCUCUUUGCUGAUCCAACGGGAUGGAUCACUAAUUGUAUUCUUGUUCAUAGUAUAUGACUAUUCUUCGACUUGACAGUGUGAAAGAGAAUAUAGUGCACUUGAGAUCACCUAAAAAUUCAGCACCAUCUGAUUAGCAACAAGCAUCACAUUUACUGACUACUGAGAAAAGGAGACAAAUGCAGGAACCCAUCGUUUUCACCUCAUUAUCUCUGCAACAGCAAGCCCUGUUCUGCAAUACCGUCUAUGCACUAUGCAGUUCACUUGUCAGUGGUCUGAAGACAAAUCUGUAUGGGCAUACACAAAGAGACAAUCGACACCAGACCCUGCAGGUUCGCAGUUGCUUCUAGUGUGCAAGCUGAAACUGUAGUGUGGACCCUACGUUGGAUCUGGCAAUGAAAUUAGCAGGGGCCGCGAGCAGAAAUAACACAGGGACCAUUGUUUUCCCUGUCCAUGUACAGUUUCCUUGGUUAUACGAUCAAUCUGGUGAGCCAAUUGUGGCUACUGCACUGAUUUUUCGUCAGGAUUUCAUUGUGGUCUGAAACUCUGAAUCUGCUGCUCCAAGAAAUAUGAAUGAAAAUCUCUGCAGCUGAAGGUAACUAAUGUAGGCUUAAUCCUAGAUGAUUUGAAAUAAUGUAGGAUGAAAACAGAGGUCCAGAAAGAAAAAAAAGAACUGAAUCACGGGAUGGAAUAUGCAAGCCGCAAGGUCCGUAUGCAAAAUUCUGAAGAUGAAAGGCCAGUGGACUCAUCAAACAGUGGUGAUAACAUUAUGGAUUUCGCAGUUAGCUUUCUGUUGCAGCAUCAGAAAAGGAACAAAGCACACAUUAAAUGGAUCACUGGCCGGUGGAACUUCUGAAUGGAACUUUCGAUUCAACUUGCUAUUUCACUCCCUCUACUUUUGUCUAUGUACACUUCAUCUCCUUUUUCCUGAAAAAACUCUACCUAAUCUCUAUCUUUUUUCUUUUUCUGAAACCACGAAUCUCUAUUUUCUAACUCUCCUAAUCCUCACUGGGAGCCCGCCACUGAUGGACGCGGUGAGCCCCGACACGAACUUUGGCGCGCAGGCGCCGCUGCCACUCUCCCCGACGACCUCGACGUCGAACCCUCUCACCACCGCCACGGCGACCGCCUUCAUCUCGGUGAUGGCAAGCUCCUUGCCGAGGCACACACGGAGGCCCGCCUGGAACACCGGGUACUUGUACAGGCUCUCCGGCACGAAGGACCCUCCAGCGCCGGUGAGCCACCGGUCUGGCCGGAACACGCCGUGGUCGGCCCCCCAGAUACGCGGCAUGCGGCCCAUGGAGUAGGGGUGGUACAUGACGCGCGCGCCGCCGGACACGUAGGUGCCGUCGGGGAGCACGUCGGCGGCGGCGCAGAACUUGGAGUCGAACUGCACCGGCGGGAACAGGCGCAUGUUCUCGUACAGCACGGCGUGGGUGUAGUGCAGGCUCUUGAGGUGCUCGUAGGUCACCGGCGUCGAGUCGUCGCCACCGGCCUCGGCGCGCAUGGCGGCGGCCACAGCGGGGUUCUUGGAUAGGAGCAUGAAGAGCGUGGUGAGCGCGGAGGACACCGUGUCGCGCCCGGCGAGGAGGAAGCUGACCACGAUGUCACGGAGGUACUUGUCGUCCACGGCGUGCGCGUCGCCGGCCGAGGCCAUGAACCGGGACAGGAGAUCAUGGCUGUUGGCGAAGCCCAGCUUCCGGCGCUCCCGGAUCAUCGCCGCCGCGAGCUCGUUGACGAGCUUGAUGGCCUUCUUGAGCUCCCUCUCGGACCCGACGUUGAGCAUGCGCUUCACCUUCCACAGCAGCGGCGACGCCGCCGCGCCGCGCAUGGCGCAGAGCCGCGUCGCGGCGUCGAACGCGUUGGCGAGCUUGGACACGGGCAUUUCCCGCUCGAGGCAGCCCGGGUCGAGGCCGAAGGAGAUCUUGCAGAUGGUGUCGAAGGCGAAGCGCCGGAACACGUCCUGCAGGUCGACGACGGCGCCGCUGUCGGCGGCGUCGGUGAGGACUGGCAUGAGGCGGGCCUCCACCUCCUGGGCGAUGAUCUUGUAGGCGUAGGAGCGGACGGCGACGCUGCCGAGCUCGAGGCUGGCCAUCUUGCGCUGGUGGCGCCAGGCGUGGCCGUCGACGUUGAAGAUGCCGCCGCCGAGGAGGUCGCCAAGGAGCGCGGCGAAGGUCUUGCCCUUGGGGAAGUUGUCGAAGUUGGUCUUGAGCAUGUACUCGACGUUGGCCGGGUUGGCGGUGACGGUGCAGCCGAGGACGUGGACGUGGAUGGUGCCGGUGGCCGACUCCCGGAGCUGGUGGGCGUACCAGUCGCCGAGGUUGGUGAAGUCUCUCGCCCACGACCCGGUGAGGUAGGCUCGGCAGACAUGGCAGCUGCACCAUGGCCACCGGCGCACGAGCAGGAGCACCAUGGCCAGCGCCACCAAGCAGAGGGAGAAGGCUGAGAAGGCCAUGCCCGCGCACUGCGCUGCCCAUGGCAAGUCCAUGGCUCUUGUUUCUAGCUAGAAUUAGCUAGCGGAACAGGCCUGGAUCAGCAGAUCGGCAGGAGCGAGAGAGAAAGGAGAGGAAAAUGUGAGUUUGUGCGGCGGAAGACCCAGGAGGCUUUGUCUAUAUAUAACGUGGGUGGACCGGGAAUUCAGCACAUGCCGCACGUGCGCUUUGGCUUUAAGAAACGUUUGUCUAAACCUUUUCCCUUUCCCGCGUAGUACACACAGCUCAUGUCCCCGUCAUUGCGCAACAGCUGAUGACAGUUGGGUCCACAUCGCCAAGGAGAGGGCAGGGGGGGGGGGGGGGGGGGGGGGGAAGGAGAGGAGCUUGCCACCCAAGAGCGCAGUAUCUUAGAGCCUUUUAAUAACAACUCCAAAGUGAUUUUAGGGAGAGCUUAGUCAAACAGUACUUUGUAUGAGUGAUCUGAUUCUCUGAACUAAAUCAAGAUGCUAGGAACUUGGAAAAAAAAACUAGCUUUUCCUUAUUCACUUCUCGUCCAGAAUAAUUUCCAAUAUAAAGGUUAUCCUCAAGAACCAUUUUCAACCAAAAACUUAAUUCUCAUAAAGAAACACUUUUAAAAGAGCUCUACUGAAGAGGUCCUUAGCACAAGGUUGUCUUUGGAACUAAAUCUUGAAAAAAUGUUGUAUCAAAUGCUUAGGUGUUUGAAAAUUCAUACUUUGGGCUUGUGGGGAUUGUAACCUUAUUCAGUUGGAUUUUUCUUGAAAUGGAAAUGUUAGUGAAGGAGAAGAAAAUCAGAAUGGCGUAGCGAGUCAGUUGCACUAAUUACUACCUCUGUCCCACAUAAUAUAGCUACUUCUAGCCAUUCAAAUAUUGCUAUAUUUUGGGAUGGAGGGAGUACCUAGCAACUGUCAGUGAAUUGCAUGCUCUUAUUUUUUUCUCUCUCUUGAUUCAACUACCACAACUUUCUCUCAUGUUGCUUCCACUACAAGUGAAAAGUACAUGAAAAAUAUUUAUUUUAGUGAAAAUAAUUUUGUUUUACAAUUAAGGAGGGAAACGCUAAAAACAAAGUAAAUGUGGACGAGAAACAAAUACACAGGUGCAGUAUCUAGAUCAAAGAGGGUUACGUACUAAGCUAGAGGCUAGCAAGAUAAGGUUACCUGUCAAACCGGGCCGGUAAAUGGUCCAGUCAAUUCAUCAUCGGGUUAAACAUGCAUCAACAAGCUAUUUGACCGUGAAUAAAGCUAGAAAGCAACAAACAAACUCGUGGGAUGAUUGGAUUGCCAUGUAAAUAUUGACCUUUUUAAACUUUUCAUAGAAAAAAUAGGACUGGAGGGCCUACGCCACUUUAGUCCCUAUAUAUCUUGUUCAUAUUCUUUUGAGAAUCCAUUGUUCCAAAGUGAGACACAAAAUACACCAUGUCGAAAAUUAUACCUAGAAAAUAAAGCCUAAGAUUACACUAGUAGAGAAUUGGGCUUUAGUCCCGGUUGGUAGGGUCCAAAUAUCUCGAAAAUGCAUCCGGGAUAAACCAACCGGGACAAAAGGGGGGGUCUUUUAUCCCGGGUCACUCAACCGGGACAAAAGACCCCCUUUUAUCCCGGUUGGUAAUGGGUCACGCACGGCCGGCGCUGCAAAAAAAAAAAAUUCCCGAGCUCCCAGGAGGCCCCCCCACAAGUCACGCGAAAUAUGCGCGUGCGCGGUUCGUGGGAUUCGAACCCACAACCUCCAGCCUCGCGCGUAGCUUCCUUGCCAUCCCACCUACACACCACAUCUGACUAUGUAGGGGAUGCUAUCCUUUUGUAUUAACUCGUGGGGGACCCUUUUAUCCCGGUUGGAAACACCAACCGGGAUAAAAGACCCCCUUUUAUCCCGGUUGGUGUUUCCAACCGGGAUAAAAGGGUUCGAGGAUUUAAUCCCCUUCCAGCCACCUUCCAGUCACCUCGUUGGGGGACCCUUUUAUCCCGGUUUGAAACACCAACCGGGAUAAAUGACCCCCUUUUAUCCCGGUUGGUAUUACAAACCGGGAUAAAAGGCUCUUGACCCUUUUAUCUCGGUUGGUGUUACCAACCGGGAUAAAAGACUUUUAUCCCGGUUGAUGUUUCAAACCGGGAUAAAGGCCUCUCAGAGUCUUUUUUUCCCACUAGCCUUUGCAACCGGGAUAAAAGGUCCCGGUUGGUGAGCCCCUCACCAGUGACCGAGUUUUAGUCCCGGUUGGUGAACCUUUUGUCCCGGACCAACUUUAAACCGGGACAAAAGGGGGCGUAUGGAAAGCCAAUUCUCUACUAGUGUUAGAAUCAAUGUCAUUAGCAUUGAGAUAUAUACUAGGCAGGGCCCUGUUUGUUCGAAGCUGGAAAUUAAAAGGAUAAAAGUGGGCAAAACAUUGAUAAAUUGGGAGAUGGUUUGCUGGCUCGAGCUCGUACAUUUUUAGGCUUAGUAUAAAAACAAAUAAAUAGUAUAACUAAUAAGAUGCAUUUAAGUUUCCCGCAACUGAAUAGCAUUACCAGGCAUUAGUCUAGUCUUAUUAGCGCGCAUUGUAUCAUGGUGCAUAUAAUUUCUUUUUGUGGCAUGUCACAGUUAGAAAGAGAGAAGAAAAGUUGUACUUGGUGGUGAUACUGAUACACUUUGCCCUUGAUAUCCAAGACUAGAAAACCAUACUCGCAUUCUGUAUUUCUGUGUCUACUCUAAAAUAGAACAAUGGCCUAGCUAGGAAAUAAUACAAUGCAAUCCUAGCAGAAUAUGUUAGCCUUUAAUCAUAACAACAUGAUCAUAUAAUGCAUCGGUAAUAGCCUUGGCGAGGAACAAAUACACACUGCAAUGUUAGUUGAAAGUACCUAACGCGACUGCUACUAGCUAGGUAGUUAGUACUUGAUCGGAUUGGUAUGGUGUACGUACUGCUAGUUGAGAUGAUUAAUUGUUGUCUCCGAGAAUCAUAUGUAUCACACGCAUGCUGCAGCUUGCACUUAAUUUAGAGCUGCAAGUUGGUUUAGGUAGUAAUCAAGCAAGUCGGCAGGCAUGCUUGGUCGUGCUGGCGCCAAAAAAAAAAUCCGUACCCCUGAUCCCCGACAGCUGGCGUCCAUGGUUCUUGGACUUGUUUUUUCCCGCGCGUGCUGCGCAAGUGCGCAGCUGGGGUCGUCUUCGAACCACGUACUACACUUCUACUUGAUUCGUUUAUUUCUCGAACCACGUACUGCGUGAAGUGGCCAGCUUCCAAACAUACUCCCUCCGUCCAUUUACUCUCUUGCGCGAUGACCAAGGGAGGGUUGAAGGAGGACCGAUUAUCAUUUAAUCGCGGCUUUGUACUAAAUGCACCGUGGGCUGUUGGGUUUCCAAGUAACCUCUCCGCUAACGCCGUUACCACGCGUCCGCGGCCAGCACGCGCGCUUGCCAUCCGCGGCCCUUCCGUUUUCCGUUUUGCCGCGUGAAAAUUGCCGAGAUCAUCUCCUUAGGGCAUGUACAACUCACGGACAGGUGUUCGUCUCUAAGCGUCUCGAAUCUAUCAUACAGAUAGGUAUAAAGACAGGUCAUACAACCCACCGAUGGGGGAUCCGUCUCUAUACUGUUUAAUACUUUGCAUGUAGCUAGGUACAUAUGGAGAAGAUUUGGGAGAGAGAGCACCUUCUCCCGCGCGCAAAUCACACCUGCGCGUGCGAGCGCCCGGGAUCCGCGCAACGACGAGUCGAGGAGGCGGUACAACGCUGCUGGAGCCAUCUCUUUCGCGAGGUGACGCCGGCUCCGUCUCUACGCUCUCACGGGGUGUUUUCUGUAAAAACUACGCUGAAGGGACGGGGUGAAGGGACCCGUUGUACAUGCCCUUAUUUGCCGCUGUCAUCCUUGAGUCCGCCCAGAUGAAAAAAUUGCCGAGAUCACCUCCAAAAUUAGCCGCGCUCGCUUCAAAAUUUCGAAGCUAAAUUCUGUUGCCGCCUAUGCUCUGGGAUGGUCUAUAUAAGUCUCCAUGGAAGUCAACCCUUGAGCAUGCAGUUCCAGCAAACUCUUUCCUCUCUCUUUCUCUCUAAUUCAUGUUGUACUAGUUCAUCAACAAUGCCUGGACUAGGGAUCGACUUAAAUGAAGCACCACCUGAAUCAGCAUUAAACCAUCCAAUAGAUUGGGAUGACGUAGUCGAUUGGGAUGGCCCUGCCCAUGAACUCGAUUAUGCCAUGGUUUGGGAUGAUGGAAAUCAAGGUGCAGAUUUAAUAAUGAUCCUUGAUUUGUCAUUUGUUUCUUCUGUUCGUCAUCUCAUCUUUUUGUGUGUUUCAUGUCAUAGGUGAUGAAGAUGGAGGAUUACCAGCGCCACCCACAGGAGUGCAAGCACCUGGUACAGUAGAUGGAGAUGGUCAAGGAGCAGAUGGAGAUCAAGAUGCUGCUGCAGUAGAUAGCGUGCAAGCAGAGGGUCUUUCAAAUGGUGAUUUUCAGUUUCUUGUAUUAAUCAGUGAUUUGUUGGUUGGAUCGGGUUCAGUUUUCUUAGUCAGGUUCAAGAUCAGUUUAGUCUAGUUUUUUAGUUUUAUUUGUUGUCGGAUAGAGCGUCAAGUGUUUUUUAUCCAUGCUGAAUGAUCAGUCUUUGUCUUUUAAACCAAUGUACAAUGUCGUGUACAUCGAUGAAAAGUAGUUCUAUAGGACUCGUAGGAACAAAAAUAUUACCUUACAAAUGAUGAAGAAAGACCACAAUGAACAGUUAAAAGCAAAAAUUUUAUUGAGGAGGUGAUGUUCCUAGCUAUGGUUAUGAGGUCUAAAUUUGAUGACAAUGGUCAAUGCAUUUUUGAUGGUAAACUAGGUAUUUUUCCCUUUGUGAAAGUAGAGCCAGCAAAGAGAUGGAGCCCAAACAGGGACGCAGGUACUAAAAAUUGCAAUUUUUUUUGCAUAUCCUGCAUGAAUUAUAAGUCUUAUUAACAAUGUUUACAUCUGUAGAUACCCUUGUAACAAAAGCCAUGACGUCGGUAACAAAAGAAGUUAGCCGAGAUUUCCUUGUGAACAAGGUUCUACCCGCAAUCAAAGCAAAGUGGUCUGCAGAAGAGAAAGGAUUGCCCAUAUACAUACAACAAGACAAUGCUAAGACUCACAUUGAUGUGAAUGGCCCUACAUUUGUUCAGGCUGCUCAAGCAGAUGGUUGGGGCAUUAGGCUCACAUGCCAACCUCCCAAUUCUCCUGACCUUAGUGUAUUGGAUCUCGGUUUUUUUGCAGCAAUUCAGGCACUGUUUGAAAAGGGAACACCAAACAACAUUAACAACAUUAUGGCAAAGGUUGAUAAGGCGUAUCAGGACUAUCCUGUGCAAAGGGCCAAUCGUAUUUUUCUAACCCAGCAGGUUGCAUGAUGGAGAUCAUGAAGCACAAUGGAGGCCAGCACUACAACAUCCCUCACAUGAAGAAGAAAACUCUAGAGUUGCAAGGACAUCUUCCAACUACUCUGAGUUGCCCUUUGCAACUUCACAAUCAAGCCAUGGAGUUCGUCUCUAGUUAGAAUUAGAAGUCAUGUAUGAUGUUUUUUUGUUGCUUUGGUUCGAGUAAUGGAAACUGCAAACAAUAUUAUCCCUUAUUUUUCAAAUGCAAUUCAUCUUGAACAUGAAUAUUUUCAUCCAUUAGCUAACAGAACUUACAGUACUGCUAAACUCAACACAAAAAUUGCUCCAACUAAUACUAGGACUAGUACAAGGAAGGAAAAAUAAUCUUAAACAUGGACAUCUUAGUUUCUUCAAGCUUCUCAGCGUCCAGACCUCUAUCUGGAGUCUUUGGCAAUCCAUUAGAAACAUUACAGUACCCACGACCAAUCCAAAGGUAGGUUGUUGCAGCAUCAUUGACGUCCUCCUCAUGGCGUCCAUACAAGAGAGGCAAUAAUAAAGGAAACAUCAAACUAGAGGCUUCAUGAUUCACCUUGUCGGAUUGAAACUUGUUAACAUCAGUUGAAGCCAGCUUCACUAGGGCAUACACGGUGUCAGGUUCGUCGAUUUCGGCAAUGUCCAUCUAGGAGUCCGGCACCUCAGUCUCACCUACAAAAGUAUCCAUCAUGAACUACACCUCGCUGUCGCCCAUGGGGUCUUCAUCUUCGUUGGUAGAAUCUGGUGCCGAGUUGACACCACGCACGUAAUGGAUCUCAUCAUCGUCGUCCUGGUGAUCCAUCGCAUGCAGCAGCGUGGCAGCAUGGCGGCGUGGAGCUACUCAGCAUCGCGGCGGCAUGGAUCGACUCGGCGGCGCGGAGGCGUGGUGGGCUGGACACUUUCACGAAGGCUAACGGGAGGGAACGGAGGCGGUAUUUGAAGCAAUGAGAGGAUGGCGCCGCAUCAAUUGCCGUGUUUCGUACAAGGAACCAUGAGCGCCUAGGGACGAGGUCCGUAGCUUAAACGAUGCCGACUCUUGGAAAACUUUUUUUUCCUCAGAUGAUAAAUGGACGGAGGGAGUAUAUUGAAUUUUAGUGGAUAUUCGAGAAGUUAGAUUUUAGGAUUCUCAAAAUCCCAGAAGCUCAGCUUGAGUAGAAGUCUAUUUAAUUUGGAUCGGAUCAUAUUCUGAGAAUCCAGAAGCAAGAAACUGCUGACUAGCUUCCAAACAAAUUAAAUUGAAUUCCUGUGGAGAUUCUAGGAGCUAGAUUUUAGGAUUCUCAAAAUCACAGAAAGUAGAGUGGGACAGCUUCCAGUAGCUACCUCACUCUAAGCUUCUGGGAUUUUGCGCUCCUUGAUCCAUUUGUGUCCUCCUUGACCUGAUCCCACUCGAAACUGUCCAGUCUAUCUAGCUGUGCAAUCACGUUGGAUUGUGCCCGCAGCUGCUCUGAUCUUGCGAUGAUCUCGCGCGUGCAGGCUUCGGAUCGGUUGGCCGUGUGAUCCGAUUCUCUGACACCUUAUAUAUACGUGCACCAUCCAUGACGACGACGCAGGACGCAAGCGACCACAAUCGGCACUGGUGGGCUCGGGCCGGCCACGUCGCCGGUCGAUGCAGCUGUGCUCCCGGCGGCCGCUUCCGUCAAAUCGGUCGAUCCGAUCAUCUUGUCGUCAAUUGUAUUCUCCCAUGGGAAUCACGUGAAGAAAGGUGAAAUGUACGGUAACUUACUAACAAAGGUAAUAUGACUUGCGAGCUUUGCGGUGAUAUAAGGUUCCGUUUGGUUGUUGAGAAGCUCCAAAAUUCAUGUCACAUCGAAUGUCUAGAUACUACUAGAAGUAUUAAAUAUAGACUAAUUACAAAACUAAUUGCACAGAUGGAGGCUAAUUUGCGAGAUGAAUCUAUUAAGCUUAAUUAGUCCAUGAUUUGACAAUGUGGUUGUUGGGGGGUAAAUAUUAACGGCCUCCUUAAAACUCCUCAAACAGCGGUCAUAAGGGCCCGGGCCCACCUGUAGCGACAGUGAUCUCCGCCGACCCAACGUGGACAAGGAGAAUUCCACUCCGCCUCGCCCGACCCCUGGUCCCGGGGUCGGACACGCCCGACCCCUCGCCGCAAGGCUCCGCCUCGCCCGACCUACGGUCCUAGGGUUGGACACGCCCGACCCGCCGCAAGGCUCCGCCUCGCCCGACCCUGGGCGCAGGGGGUCGGACUCAUCCAGGCCCACAAGACAAGGAUCCACCUUGGGCGCAGAUCAGCGGACGAGGGCGCAGAUCUCGUGGGCUCCCACCAACCUUGCCAUUAAUGCGAGGCGGCUCUGGCGUGCAGAAAGGCGCCCGCACUCCUCGACGUGGCUCGCCACCGUACUCAGGCGGUACACUGUAGCCACGACCGCACAGGCUACAGCGGCACCGUCCUAGUCCGCGGCCUUCCCUGUUCGCCAUAGGGUGCUCUUUACCCGUACCUCCCGGCAGAGGAGGGAGCGCCGCCCGGUUCUGCGCUCGGUCCGGCGGCAGAGACAUAACGACCACGCCUCUCGGACAGCACGCAGGACUACAGAGGUCGGCCGUCUCCCACGACAUGCACAGUUGCGGCGACCGGACAUCAUCAUCAUGCUUGGCCACGGCGGUCGGACAACGUGCGCAUCACGCACACACGGCGACGGCGGGCAACCAGAGGAUCCUCAACAGGAUCCAACGACAGCCGCCCCUCUCCGGCGGCCACGCUGGUAGGAGAUGAAGGCCGGAAGGGAAGGCGGCGACCCCGGGGACUCGGUCCUUCGACCAGUACUCUGCGUUACCUUACACACUUAUCUCUUUUACUUCUCCUUACGCCUGACUCAUCUGUAACUCCAGUGUCCUCCUUGCGCCAUAAAAGAAGGCCCAGGGGGCCCGAAACAAGGAGGACUCUCAAGCCAACUGAACUCACACCCUCUCCUCACGAGCAUCAGUGCACACCCAAGAGACUUGGGACCAGUUCCCUCUCUCGCCUGUUUGUAACCCCUACUACAGACUCCGCGUGAGUAACACGAGCAGCACCCCAUACUGGACGUAGGGCUAUUCCUGCCCGAACCAGUCUAACCUCGUGUCCUCUCACGCAGCCAUCCGAGCCUUACGCGCAUAAAACAAAUUUAUUUGCCGUAGUCUUGAUCUGCUAAUCUCGACAACGACAGUGGUGCUACAGUAAACAUGUGCUAAUGAUGGAUUAAUUAGGCUUAAUAGAUUCGUCUCGGGAAUUAGCCUCCAUCUGUGUAAUUAGUUUUAUAAUUAGCUCAUGUUUAGUCCUCCUAAUUAGCUUCCGAAUAUUCGAUGUGACAUUAAUUUUAGUCCGGACUAAAGAUCCAAACACCCCCUAAGGCUCGACUGAAUCUUCGUGUUACUUCUGCUGGUGCUGAUACAAUGCUUUUUUAAUUCUUAGGUCAAAGCGGAGACAAUGUUAGUUUUAGGGGGUGUUUCAAUGCUUUUUUAAUUCUUAGGUCAAAGUUGAGACAAUGUUAGUUUUAGGGGGUGUUUGGAUACUAGGUGCUAAACUUUAGUAAAGUCAUAACGGAUGUUCGGAUGCUAAUUAAGAGGACUAAACAUGAGCUAAUUAUAAAACUAAUUGCAGAACCCGUGGGCUAAUUCGUGAGACAAAUCUAUUAAGCCUAAUUAAUCCAUCAUUAGUAAAUGGUUACUGUAGCACCACAUUGUCAAAUCAUGGACUAAUUAGGCUUAAUAGAUUCGUCUCGCGAAUUAAACUCCAUCUAUACAAUUAGUUUUGUAAUUAAUCUAUGUUUAAUACUCUAAUUAGUAUCCAAACAUUCAUAGGAUAGGUGCUAAAUUUUAGGGUUGGUAUCAAACACCCGUAGCAAACCAAGCUGGCGGCGAGCAUCAUGCUAGCUGCUUGCGUACAAGAUGAUGACGUACGUAUCUUACGUGGACACGCAUCUACUUUCUGCACUAAUUGUCGGUAGGCCAUUCAUCGCCUGAUCGAGAAGAUGAUUCGGUUUUUUGGACACGUGGCGUGUGACCCCACCCUCUCUAAUUAAAAUAGGUCUAUAAAUUGAUGUGUGUAGAUCCGUAUGGGUGCAGCGUGUGCUAUCACUUGGACAGCGAGGCGGGACAGAUCGAUCGCGAUGCGGCUGGCUAGUGCUCUGCUAGCUGUGUGCUGUCAAGCUGAUUGGGACUGGCGAACUGCCGUGUCCCUUCAGUUCCCGUCCCUGCCACACGUACGUACGCCGCCGUGGCCGCGGAUCAGCGGCAAGAAUUCCGCACGCUUUAAUUUCCCACGACCACCAUGCAUGCAUGGGAGGCGUCCGUAGUCCGUACACCUCUUGGAGCCGAUCUUUAUCUCUUUGGGGCCGGCACCAGGCGUGCUUUGUGGAAUCUGUACGAUCCACCGCCAUUGCAUCAUUCAUGCCACGCCGGCGCUAAGCCAAUGGCGACCUUUGUUUUUUUGGAGCCAAACGAAUGGUAACUUUGAUUAAACUUUCAUUUCCUUUAGGUUUUUCCAUGACGAUGGCAUCACCGACCAAACUUAAAAAUGAUCUGUGUGGUACGGCGUGGGGCACUGCCUAUGGGAAUGGGUAUAAUCUAUCUAUGUACUGACUUUUGUGACCAUUUAUUUUAUUUAUUCCUGAAUAAAGGUCAAAGUGAGGUUGCACUAAAGGAGUGUACUAUAAGACCCUUGAAUCAUUUCUUAAACUCAAUUCGAAAGAGGAAAACGUGCCUGCAAAUACAAGCAAUAACUUUUCUAGAUGAUCAGUUGGUGAUCGGGGCAAUGCUCAGUAACAUUCCAAGGCCUGCUCUUCAUAUAUAUUAGAGGGCACACCUUUGUGUUCAACUGAAUAUUCCACCGAAAGCUAUAGCACCAUCACAAUUCUGUAAACUAGUCCAACAAACCGUGCAUCCGCGCACGGGCUAAUACUUUUAGAUGACAUAUAGGUUAUUAUUUAGAUUAGGGAGAGCCAUCAAAAAUAUUUUCUAUUUUUUGCUUUCUUUUAUGUGUUAUUUUCUUAAUGCUUAUGAUAUCAUAUAAUUUAAAUAGUACAUAAUACAUUAAUGAGCAUUGGUUGUUAUGAUUGGGUAGUGAGACCAAUACAUUUUUUAUAGUGCAUACUAUGCUUUAAAAUUGGUAAUAAGUACAAUGACAAUAAAAAAAAAGGAAAAUCACUAUGUUUCAUGCCGUCUCCUCGGUACUUCCCAAUGUAGCAGAUAUUAAUCAAAUUUGAGUAUAUGAGCAUGUGGGAGGCCCAUCUUUUGCAACUCAACCAUGUAGAUAUCUACAUUGAAAAUGGAUAUUGUUAGCUCACCUAUAAAUGAAUAAUUAGCAACAUACUUGAAUAUGAGAUGUUCAUAUUUACCUGUAAUAGGUUCCCAACAUUGUAGUCCAUGUUUUAUGUCUCUCGUCAAUUUCUUCAUGUUAUCUUGAAACACUGUACUGUUGAUGUCAGGCAAUGGUCUUUGACCUUCUCCUUCCUCAACGACGUUACACAUAAAUGACACAAAUAGUUUAGGGUGUUGAACAUAAUAACAUGUCAUCAUAGCAUCUUGGUGGUUUUGUCCCUGUAAACAGCACGCCUUUGUAAAGGAGACGAUAAUAUUAUCCUCUUUCCAACAUGUCCAUCUCUUGUGUCUUCUUCUAUGAAUGUUUUUUUCUUGGUAAAAGGUUCCUCAGUGUCUACCUCUUCAUUCAGUAGUUAUUGUGUAGCCUUUGUAUGAGUUGUCUUCUACUUCCUUCAAAUAAUCAAAAAGAAAAUAAAUUUAGGUCAGAAUUUGUUUCAUCGAUACAGUAAACUUAUCAAAUAGUAAGGAUUCAAAAGAAAAAGUGCAAUAAAAUACUUAGUAAUAAUGAAAAUGUGUUACCUCUUUGACACUUUGCAUGUUAAUUGUUGAACUGCUCUUUUCUGUUGGAAAAAUAUCUUUGGAACACUAUAAUCAGGUCAAAAACUUGUCAAGUUGUACUCGGUCAUUCUGAACUGAAAAACAUUGUUUGUCCACAUAUCUGUUGAUUCAUUAAUUACCAUUUGUGCUUCCUUGUCAAAAAGUACACAAGAUGCAACUGCUGUUGGAUCACUUAUUGUAAAGUACUAAAUAAUUUACCGUGCUAUAAGUUUAGCUCUCUUGUCACAUUUAUUGCAAUAGUAGUGAUCAAAUUUCGUUUCAAGUUGCUUCUUACAAUGCCUCUACUACAUGAGAUGUAGUACAAACCAAAAUGUUGCAUUAGUUUCAUUUAUUGUUGCUUCAACGGUAAUUACUUUAUCCUGUAAGUAGAAAAAAUACCAUCAGUGUGUGUAAGUCUUUAAACAGGAUAGUCUAUAAUGAACAAACUAAUGCAUACCUGAUUUGAUGUGUCAAACAAUAUCGAAUUCAAUUCUUCUAAAGUUCUUCUGUUGUACUGCAUAAGGUCUUCCAAUGUCCCUUUUAGAUGGUCUUCCAAUACCAUCAGUAUGUUUUAAAGUUCUUCUAAAUCCCUCUUAUAAUAUUAUCAAUUGAACUAACGCUUUUUUCAUAAUUCAUGUUAGAGUGCAGGCUACAUAGCUUAAAAUAGAAAAAUAAAUAUCUAAAUUUGUUUUAAUAUUUUAUUUUCUUAGGAGGUUAGUUUGUUGAAUGAAAAAUAUUGAAUAGCUCAUAUCAAAUGAUGACUUACUGUCAAAUUUCCUCACAGUUGUAGAUGUUAUUAUGAUGACAUGGGAUUUUAUCUUAUCAUCAACCUCCUCAAAUUUGUCUCCCCAAAAUCUAACUUUAACUUCAUGGUCACUGCAAAUUUAAAAUUUUGUAUUUAACUAUCUGACUGCAAAUUAAAUUGUUUGGAGGGGCACUAUAGAAGAUAUUUUGAUAUUUUGAGUUCAACAAAAGUUCUGUAGCAUGCAUGUAAACAUUGAAAGUUUUGUAGUUGUUUUGGAUGAGAGAAAAGUGAAUUAACUUCCUACUCGAUCAAGAGCACAAUAUCAUGGAUUUUGAUCAAACAAAAUGGUUUAGUAGGCGUAACACAUGCCAUGAAAAAUUAAUCUAGUUGUAGAAGGGAAAUUAAACAAAUUAAUGUCUUUCUCACGUGAGAUUUGAAUGGUCUAAAAGGUUCCCUGGCCGUAGCACUUGAACCUUCAAUAGGAAUAACAGUUCAGAGGCAAUUUGAUCGUACCUUUCUAUUGAAUAGCAGCAGGGUCUAGUUCUGUUGAUGAAAGUAGCAGCAGACCCUAGUUGAUGAAGCAGUACACAAAACAAAAGAGUUGUUCGGCAAAGACGGCAUCUCUCUUUUUAUAUACACGCAAGAGUAUCUAAUUUAGUUGUAUUAGCUAACAACCCUUUAGGAUAGAUUGUUUUAUGAUUUAAAUAUGGGAGAGAGAUUGAAGGCAAGAGAUUACGCUAAAUUUGAUCGGCAGGCAUCUCUAUAUGCACAUACGUAUCUAGUUUGUUUGUUGGUUGUAUUACAUAAUUAAGGAUUCUUUAACGAUAUACUCUUUUUAUGGUUUAAAUAUGGGAGAGAAAUUAGGGGCAAGAGAUUAAUUGUGUCACAUGUGACCGGCAGGACAGGGUAGUUAGACAAUUUUUUAUUUUAUUUCAAGCAAAGAGAUUUAUUAUGUAAGAUGUGACCGGCAGAUCGUUUAGAUUAAUUUUUUCUACAGUGGAUAUGUGAGUAAUUUAGACAUAGAUAUAGGAGUUAUUUUGUUAAUUCUUUAUAAUGGUAUAUGUGGGUAAUUUUAGAAACAGAGUACAUCUAACGGCUAUUAAAAUCUUACUAGUAAAGCAAGAUGUUUUGCUUUUUUUUAGAAUUUAUAGGAUUUCUCAAGAAUGUCCACCUAGAAAUCCUAAGUGGCUUCACCUGGAAGCUUCAAAAGGAACCUCGAAUUAGUAAAAGGAAGAUUAGUUACGGGUUUACGCCGCAUAUUUUACGCAUGACGGUACGGUCAAACGGAAUCGAUACAGUAAAUCUGUGUCACUGCAUGGGCACCAAAAUCCGAUCCUUUUCGUUUUCGUCCCGCCGAUCCAUUCAACGGGUCUCAAGGUCAUCAGUGUCCCGCGCCGCCAGGCAGUGGAGAGAUGUGUGCCGGCGCCGCAGAACGCACACAACAGGCGGCGGCGAAUGGUGGAAGGCAUGCCGUUGUCGCCUUGUCGGCCACGCUGCACCACACGUACCACGACGUUCGGUGGUCGACAUGUGGAUUAACGGUCCUACUAAUCUCGUGCACAUGCAUGAUGGUUACUGCAAGUAUGGGCCUGCUAGCUUUAUUUGGCUGCUUGAUGGGACACUUGUCGCACGCUCACAUAUCUUGCAUGGGAGACUGCAGGAACGCACCAUUAUUGCGAAAAAAAAGGCUCAGCAUGGGCGGAAGUCAAAUUGUCAAGUUUGAUAAAUUAUCAAAUUUAUAAGGAAGAGUAUCGAUAUUUAUAACAUUAAAUAGGUAUGCUAUGAAAAUAUAUUUUAUAAUAAAUUUAAUGAAAAUUUGUUAGACAUCAAAAGUUGUUGGAGCCCAAAAGUGGCAGUGGUACCGAUCAGGCUUGUAGCCGAUCUGGUGCAUGUCCACCGGUCCGGUGGCCCCGACCGGUCAGCCCGAGUCUGAAAUAAUUUUUGGAGUCCAGGGCGAAUCGGAGAUGAAGCGGGAUUUUCUUGCGGGAAAAGACCUCCCGCCCUAUAAAUAUAAAGGGCCCUGACCGAUUGAGGGCAACCAACCCAAUCGUUAAAAAAGACCUCCCGCCCUGUAAAUAUAAAGGGCCCUGACAGAUUGAGGGUAACCAACCCAAUCGUCAAACACAUUUACCUACUUUUUACCUCCAAACCCUAGCUUUCCAACCCCCUUGCUUUCCUCCUUCGUCUCGACAGCAUUUGAGGACGUUCUGAGUGGCCUGACCGAUCUCAGAGCAACCCUAGGCCCGCCAUCUCCGACGGGGUCCCUCAUGAGGUGGUGAACGUAGGCUUUCGCGGUGCCCCUACGAGGAUCGGUCUGACCGGACCCCCUAACCGAUCUGACCGGCCAGGUGCAGAAGCCUCACGAGGUGAUCUUUUGAUUUGCGUGCGAACCAGCGUGAUCGUGUGUUGGCCGGAAAAGGCGCCAACAAAAGUAUUGAUAUAUUUUUAUAUAAAUUUGGUCGAACAUAAGAUGAUUUGACUUAGGACAAAACUCUAUACGGAACCGGAGGAGUAGGUGGUUGAGUAUUAGUUUUUUUUUUGACCUCGUAUCUUUCUCCUUUCUUGCAUCAUGAGGCAUUGUUCCAACUUUCCCAGUGCUAGCCACAAUUAUUUCUUUUUUAAAAGACUGCAGGAACGCACCAUUCACAAAACAGGGGCGACCUCAGUCAGCAUGGGACGGCGGCACGCUUGAUGCAAGCGCUCACGUAACCCUCGUAACUGAGGGUUUUUUUUUAACCUUGUCUCUUUCUCCUUGUUGGAGUAGAAACUACGUGCUCUGCAUAUGUGCUUUAGCCUUUAGUCAAAGGAUGUUCUUUCUUGCGUCGUGUUGCUUUGCUCCAACUUUCUAAGUAGUAGUAGCAGCUACAAUUAUUUCUUUUUAAAAGACAGAGCCGUGUCAAUUUUAAUGCCGCAGCUGAGAUGCUGGUAGCACUCAAGCACAUCCCUUGCAUUUGAUGUUCUCUUCCGGCGCAAAUUCAGAAUACAACCCAAAACUGGAUUAUGAUUGCUUCCGCCUGAAACAAUUUGUGACGGCAUGAAUUUAGCAUUGUGCCCACUUCAUGCUGGUGAUGAGGAAAAAGUCAGGAGGAAUACGAAAACCUGCUCAUUUAGACGGCACCGAAAACUGAGAAAUGAGAGCCCCUUUUUAUGCUUUCCACUCAGGCUGCUUGACCUUUAAAGUACAUGUACAGACAUGCUUGGAUUAUUGGAAAGCCAGUGCUGGUAAUUCUAUUCCGAUAAAAUAUUCGCACCAUGAAAAAAAAUGUAGUAUGUCCAGCAUGGAAGCAGUUGAGUAUAUACGACAGUAUCUUAGUAAGUCGAUAGGGAGAGGUUAGGAUAAAUGGGCACAUGUGGAUGUGCAAGUGCGGCCGCUUUAGCUAGGUUGCCGGGCCGCAUUUGAGCUACAAAACAAGCACAUUUUGCAGGCCUUAUCUGCAAACAACUGCAGCUCUAUCUUGCUGUUACAAGGGCAAAAAGGAUUGACGCCUAUAUAUACACGAGAUUAAUUGUAAAUGGUUGGAAAGAUCAAACAUCUGCAUCAAACCUUAUUUCUAAUGUACCACUGUUUGAAAUGAUGGCCUUCCUGCCUGAAAGAGUUGUUGUGAACAAGUAGCUAACCAACCAACAAGUCAUAGUCCCACACUAGCUAGCAGAAGAGGUAGCAUCUAGUCAAUGUAAUUGGAAUAAGCACCGCUGCCAUGGCUGAUUUCUUAUCCAAAUUCGUGGACUGCGAGCCACUAUAUUGCGGCCCCAAAUUUCAUAUCGAUUAAUUCUUGCCGUACCGGCAACGGCAAGGUUAUGUUAUUACGCACGUUGUAAAUCUGACAUGAUGCGAGAUGGUCGGUGGUAUCAGCGUCAACUGGAUAGGGACAAAGUGUAUUCAAGUGGUGCUCCAUUCUGUCUCCCUAAUUCCGUCAGUGACUUAUUGUACUGGGCAAAGAUUACAUUACUACAAAGUUAGUAAUGCAAGCAUCAAGCUUACAUAGGUGAUGACGAAGGUGUCAGUGCUAUAAGACGCAGUGGUCAGGACACGAAAAUGAAAGUAACAAGUACUUUAGUAAUGCACAUCAUUUUUUUUUACGCGAACAGCAGACUGCACAUCAAUUUUAAUUGGGUGCAUCUUAGGUAAAAGUGAAACUCUACAGAUUUGUUAAAAACUUUGCUAAGGAGUCGCCACAAAUUGUUAAAUACUCAAAGCUGUAGGUGAUGUUAUGUUGUCAUCAAUCCAUGCAUUGAAAUUUGAGCAUGCUGUUUGUGAGAUUAAACUAUAAACACAUUUCUAGGCCUUUUUUGUCUAUGCAAUCGCAAUGCUAUUGCAGCUGAUGUUUAUCUUACAAUCAAGAUUAACUUCGCUCUUGAGAUUUUGCAUUGAUUUAGAACAUAACAUCACCUAAUUUGUGGUUUAUAAUUCCUCAAUUUUUUUAGUUAGGUUUAAUUUUUGACAAAUUUGUAAAGUUGCAAUUUAUUGGCUGUUUUUCAACAUUGGUUCAAUUAUAUGAGAAUCGAGCACUGGAAUAUAGUCAAUAAUACGAACAAGCUAUUGGCUAUAUUUCAAAACAUGUUACGGUCAUAAAUAAUAAUGACAUAUGAAAAUAAGUCAAUCUAAAUAUAUCUAAGGGACCGGUGACAAAAAUAGCCUUUUACAUUAAUCAUCCUGUUGGGUAUGUUAGUAAUUUUUCAUUUAAUUUAAUCCAGAAACAAAAAUAUAUAACAUGAUAGUAAACAUAGAUAGAUUAAUCAUGUUGCAGAUACUAAUUAAACUAGACACGUGCCUAAAAAAAGUAAACUAUGCAUGCUAAGAAAAUACUAGCACAUAUACCUCAUUAUUUGCACAAACCAGAGGAAUCCCUAACACUAUACUCUGUUCGGCUGGCUGCUUUGCAGCUGGCUGCUGCUGCUCGCAAGCAGCUGUAGCAGCACGCACCAGCAGCCGCCAUGCACUAGCCGAACAACGCCACAUACAUACAUACAUACAUACAUACAUACAUACAUAUAUACAUACAUACAUACAUACAUACAUACAUACAUACAUACAUACAUACAUACAUACAUACAUACAUACAUAUAUAGCAGCAGGGUUGAAGAGAAUAGUAGUUGCCAAAGUUAUGUUUUGCAAAAUCUACUACAGCACGUACGCUAGCUUGAUUACAUUAUUAAUUAUCCCCCUUUAAGAAAUUUCCAAGGAAAAAAUUGAAGGACCGUACAUAUAUAUUGAUCGAUCUGCAUGCAGAAGCCGGGGAAUAGUCGCGGCACAUAUUUUGCUCGUGGUCGAAUGGCAGAAGAGAAGAAAUUUGAUAUCUCUCUAGACUGCAGAAAGCAAACCAAAGAAUUUGUGUGUACGCUAUCCUAUCCACCACCACCAGGACUAAGCAAACACUCCCACAAGAAUGAAAACAACCUUCCUCGCAAAAAAGAAAAAAAGAAACAAAAAAUGAAUGCAAACAACCUGCGCAGGACAGGACCCUUUUUCCGCGUACCUGCACGGAUGCGUCGUCGGCAUUUUCGUCCCCGGCGCCCCGCGCGUGGCGCCACCGGUGGAUCCAAACGCGUCGCCGUCAGAAAAUCUCACGACCGGCCACCUAAUUAAGCAAGGUAAUACAGAGAUCGUCCAAGCAAAAUCGCAGAAAACUCCUGGAAACCGGGCUCUGGUUUGGGUCGCCAGUAAACACAAUACGUGACGGCCGCCGUACGUCCUUUCGGUCUCGUGGGCUGCUUCGCAUGAUCUUCGUUCCUGCAGUGUCCCACGUCCUGCUGUUCAUUUGGACGUCGGCCGCCGACCAGAGAGGCCUAUUAUUCCUGCCACCUUUUGCUUUCCAGUCGUCAGCAGGCUGCUAGGUUUUUGUAGCACAAAUGCAUGGGUUCAUAUGUAUGCAGAGUAGGGGAACAGAACGAUUACCUCAAUUCAUCAUAAGAUGUUCAAAGACAAGGAUAAAAGCAUGCUCAUAGAAGAGCACAUGUGCGCCGGUGCAAGUGCGGCAGCUUUGGCGCUUUCGGAGUCGGAGCUACAACUCGCUGCGCGGUUCAUACGAGGCUCUGCAAAUGGUUCGGGAAGCACAUUUUGAAGCAUGUUGGGCUUAAUUCUCUAUCUGUCUUGCAACUCAGCCCAACUAGGCCCGCAAGACCGCCAUCACCUUCCCUGAUUUCCCUUCUGCCGCCUCACUCCAGUCCUCAGUCACAUUCAGGGUUCGCGCACGGAUCCCUGACGCCGUUCGCCCGUGUUCUUCUGCCCCCCAAAUCAACAGAUCAGCGCCGCGGAAUCUAGCAGCCCGUUCGGUUGGCUGCGGCUGGGCUUUUUGCGGCUGGACUUUUCAGCCCAGCCGUUCGGAUGGCUGCGGCUUCUAGCAUCCACGGAAGCUGUUGGAAGGGAUAACGACGCGCCUCCAGUGCCUCCCUCUCGCCCCCUUCGUCGCUUGCUCCCCUCCGUCCCUCGCUCCGGAUCCGCCGCCGCCGCUCCCUCCGCUCCCCCGCUCCGUCCCCUCCGCCCGGUCUGCGCCGCCGGCGGGCCCUCGGCUCGGCCGCUCCGUCGCGCUCGCCCGCGCGACGCCGCCGUCCGUCCUGCUUCUCCUCGCCCCCUCCGUCCGGCGCGGCCCGUCCGGAUCCGCCGCCGGUGCAGCUUCCGCUCCGCCGCUCCCUCGCUGCCGCGCGCUCCCCGCCGCCGGUGAGGCGUGGAGUGGCCCUCUCCCUCCCUCCCAUCCGGCCGGGCGACGGCGCCGUUCCUCCCGCUGGACGUCCCCUCCGUCCCUCGGUCCGGAUCCGCCGCCGCCCGUCCCUCCGGAUCCGCCGCCGCAGCUCCGAGCCGGCGCACGCGCUGCCGCCGCCGGUGGGCCGUCGGGUGGAAGGACCGUCUCCCGCGCCGUCGCCCCCUGCAUCCCCUUCGCUCACAUGUAUGGAUGCUACCCCAUCCGUAUGCCGCUAGUGAAUGAAUGAAUGCUUUCACCUCACAUUUCUGGAUGUGAUUCCUGUUAGGCAUGAAACCUGAACACCUCAACCUUGAAUUAUACCGCCGUUGAUUUCAUCGGGUUGCAUUGUUUGAUAAUAGUCUGAAACAUUCAAGUGGACACUGAAUUGGUUCAUUAUUUUUCUGUGUGUUAGAAGGGGACUAAGACAAUCACUGUGAAGCGAAGACAAGUCAUAGGUUGAUAGAUUGUGUCCCUCUCGCCAAAUGCCUAUUUAUCAUGGUUAAUGUGUUAUGCUAAUCCUGCGUUCCUUACUUUCAUUUGAUAAUUCUGGGUUUGUACUCAAUAGUUAGCAAGUAGUGUCCUAAUUACUACUAAGGCUGGUGUCAAUCUCGAUUCAAUUUUUGCACCCAGCAGCAAAAAUGUGUAAAAUGCUUCCUGUUUUUAGACAUGCUGCUGGGCAACUGACUUGUUUGAGUAGGGUUUGAUUUUUCUAUGGGAUACUCAGCAUCAUGCAGAAUCUUUCUCAUGAUUGCUGAAGUUUUGAGCUUUCUUCAGCGGGCAUGCUCAAUCUGAGCUCAUGACUGUUCUGCGUUGCAACUUUUUGCAAACCAUUGCUGUUUCUGCGCAACCAAAUAUGAAGACAUUUCACUACAUAUAAGAUCUAGUCAAGUACAUACCUUAAUGCUUAUUGUUGCCCAUUGUGAUAAAAGGAAGGCCUCAAACUAGGAUUGAGGUUAUUUCAUGGGUUAUUCCUUACAGCAAGGGUAUCUGAAACUGAAAUAUCAGGUUAUAGCUUGAUUGGUUGAUUUAAUUUCUCCCCUGGUUUUGGAGGCAUACUUUCUUCUCCCUGUUUCCCUGUUACAUACUAGACUACUUCAUAGUUAGCUGACAUAAGUAGCAAUGGAAAGUUUAAGCGAACGUGGGUGGAAUUAUGCGUUUUCUCAUGAUAUUUGGACCUUUAUUUCCUUUUCAAGUAUGCAAGUAUUUUUUUAGAUAUACUGUGAGAAGUUUGCUGAAAGUGUACAAAAUAUAAGUAUAAAUGCAGUAUGAAUUGACAAUGUCUUAGAGACUUAGUUGGAGUAGACAUUAGCCCUUUGACUGCACCAUGAUUGUCAGCUAAACUAAAAAGGUCCUGAUAACAUGCACUUCCUGAUUUUUACUUGGAUCUUAGAGGCAAGUCUCGUGAAUAGCAAUUUUUUGCCACUGAUAGUCGAAGAUGCAAGCUGAAUGUCACAUUGUGCUGACCUUGUGAUUUCUUUUUGUCACCUUUCAGGCUUCAGGAGGAAGGGUGCAAGGAACACAACACUGAGGCAGAUUCAAGGGUGCCCACACUGGCAUCGUCAUCGACUGGUUCCUGCUCUCCCCCUCCCCCCCGUGUGCCCGUACAAUUUCCGCCACAAACGCCCCAAAGCACCUGCUAAGGCAAGUAACAAUUUCUUUAUUUUACAUUGCUUAGUUGUGUACGUAGGUCGUAGUUGUCCAUAGAUCGGUGCCAUAUAAUUGCAGCUCCUGUGUGCUCAGAUGAAUAACUGUGCCAGCUGGGAUGAGCCCACGACAAAAAUUUUGCUGGACUUGUGCAUUGAACAGAAGAACCAGCUCAACUGGAGCGAUAGAUGCCUCACUAAGUUGGGAUGGAGGAAUGUGCACUCCAGGUUCAGGGCAGAAACUGGAUUGCAAUUGGGAACGAAGCAGCUGCAGAACAAGCUCAACAACUUGAGGAGGCAAUUCUUCGGCUGGCAGGCAUUGCAAACCUCAUCUGGUUUAGGGCGCGACACACAAACUGGUGGUGUGUCUGCUGAUGCCACGUAUUGGGAGCAGUACCAACAGGUACGGACUUUGCGACGGCCCUAAGUUACUGAUCGUCUUACUUGUACUGUUUUGUUUGCGAUGCUGAUAUUUUACUUUGAUGGGACAUUGCAGGACACCCAGGCGAGGGUCCCAGUCGAGUUCUGUGAAGCCUCCACCUUUCCUCAACGAGUUGUUUGAGUUGUAUGGCCACGAACCCCAAGAUAGGGGCACCUUGCUGACGGCCGGAGGUAUUCGUGAGGACACACCUAGCAUGGGGACUGAGGGCAAUUUCGUGGACUUGGAGCAGGACCCCGCCCCUGCUAGUAGUGCUCGUGUCAGUGCUCGUGCCAUGUCAAAAAGGCCGGUCCGAGAGUUCUCUGUGGACAGUCCCACCAAAAAAAGAAGUGACAACUUGGAGCAGUACAUUAGGGAACUAUCUGAGAGUGUGGCCAAGCAGAGCCUGCUACGUGCGCCGAGUAUCCAUGACCAAAUCUCGCGUUGUAUUGAGAUCCUAAAAGAAGAUGGUAUAGAGCAGGGGUCGGAGCUUCACAACCAGGCUAUGUUUUCAUUUGGGCAGAGCGCGGAGUGUCGGUCCACGUUCAUGGGGUUGUGCACAAAAGAUGCCCGAUUGAGUUGGAUCAAUUUCUACUGGAACAUGAUGCACAAGAAGUGAUGGUGCCCUGCUUAUUUGUUAGCUUAGUUGCACUUGUGUUGUGUUGAACAUUAUUGUUAGCUUCUGUAACUAGUAGUGAUCGUUGAACCUUUCUAUGUGCGCCGAGUUGAACAUUUUUAAGUUAAUGAUCGUUGAACCUUUCUCUAGUAUUUUAGUGGUUGUUUCUGUUCAGGUGUAUCUGACUGUUGACCAUUUCUAUUAGUUAGUUGUAUCUGUUCAGUUGUACGUAUAAGUUUUGUUGCUAAGUUACUUUGAAGUUAAAUUACGUUCAAUUUUUUUGCAAACUAGUUGUACCUCCUCUCAGUAUACAGAACGUUGUUCACCUUGUCUUAUAAGCUGUGUUUUCAUUUUCGACAGGUACUUGAAGUAUGAGUGGUGCAGAGGAACACAACAGUGACACCAGCAGCGACAGCAGCUCUGUGUUCGAUAUGAAAUGUUUAGGAGGAGCUGCAGCCGCAUAUGCGGAGCUUCGCAGCAUUCAUCGUGCUAGACGGAACCCGCCAGUUGAGCUGCCACGCCUGACGGGUCGGCAAUGGGUGGAGCUGAACCUCCGGGACAGGAGGCGGUGCUUCGAUAAUUUUCGUAUGUAUCCCGACACGUUCCUUCAGUUGCAUGACAUGUUGGUUAGCAGUCAUGGGUUGAAAACGUCGCAAGGGGUAGAAUCUAUUGAGGCGUUAGCUAUGUUUGUGUGGGUGUGUGCGACACAGCAGGCUUGCCGUCAGAUUAGAGAAAGGUUUGACCAGAGUUUGGACACAGUUAGUAGGAAGAUGGCGCAUGUGGCAAAUGUAAUGUAUUCGUUUGCCCAGCAAGUCAUCGCUCCAAAGGAUAAAGAGUACUCUACGGUCAAUCACAAGCUGACCCAAUAUGCACCGUUCUUUGAUGGGUGCAUAGGUGCUUUAGACGGCACGCACAUUCCAGUACUUGUCGGGCGUGAGUCCCGUGUGGAUUUCCUAAACAGAAAAGGAUGGACGAGCUUCAACGUGUUAGCCAUAUGCGAUAUGGACAUGCGAUUCACGUACGUAGGAGCUGGGAUGGCAGGCUCGUGUCACGACAUGGCGGUUUUGCGUGACUGUAUGUCGGCAAGCACGUACCCACAUCCACCUGCAGGUAUGUGACUUCUAAGUGUGCACAUGUAGCUAGACUUGGAAAAUGUGGUGCAGUACUGUUGAUUGUUUGUGAUUACCUGCAGGCCGCUAUUAUUUGGUCGACUCGGGCUACGCAGUUCGCGAAGGGUAUCUGGGGCCGUAUAGAAAUACGAGGUAUCACCUGGAGGAGUUUAGCAGAAGGGCGGCGGACACAUUGGAGGAGAAAUUCAAUUUUCACCAUUCUAGUCUUCGCAAUGUGGUGGAACGCGCAUUUGGUGUCCUGAAAUCGAGGUGGCACAUUCUGCGGGAAGUUCCACUAUAUUCAAGAGAACGCCAAACGAAGAUUGUUAUUGCUUGUUUUGCACUGCAUAAUUAUUUGCUGGACCUUGCCAAUGACAGUUCUGCAGGAUCGUCCAGGGCGCGAGAACCGGACUAUGCGGUGUCCGAAUGGGUGGCAGCUAAUGCUACACCUGAUAUGGGCAGUGUCCGAGAUUGGAUUGCGGCGGGAAUCUCGUUGAUGUAGACGCGGGAUGUAUGUUGUGUACGUUCAUGUUGUAAUUUGUAUGUACGAAAUUGUAAUAUGUUGUGUGUACGAUCGUACCCUCGAGUGUGUUUGUUAUGUUUGCCGGCCACCAUUUAAAUGGUGUAGUUGCAUUUACCGCUACAAAUUUUAUUUUCGAACGUAGCAGCGCAUCCGUAGGGAAACCACUUUGGAAAUUGCUAAGGAUAAGCUGUCACCGCUCCCUCGCUACUAUCGGUACAGGAACAAUUUAUUUUCGGUUUUUUUAACAACCUUAUAUUUUUUAAGUAUCAACAAUUCCCUUAUGAUUUGUAGUCCCACACGUUGUAAUUGUUUCAUUCUCUAAAAAAGAGUAGGCAAAUGAGACUUGAUUAAUUGGUUUGCUGCAUAAAUUGCUUUUGUAACCGGACUAAGUUUAACCUUAACCGUCAUGUGGGCCAAACGGCCCGUUACCAGGCAAACCCGGCGGGCCAAACGGCCGUUAACAGGCACACCCGGCGGCAGCAGCAGCAGCUGCAGCGCUGCAGCAGCCGCAGCGGCAGCCAGCAGCCGCAGCCGCUAUAAGCGCUGCCAAACGCGGUCAAGGUCGGGGCAUCCGGCGGACAAGGACAGGCCACGAGGCGCUGGCGGGCGCAUUCCCCGGCGACAGUCAUGGCACGUAUGUGGUACCACAAUUAUUUACUAUAAGUUAUCAUAAUUAUUUAGCAUCAAAAUAUUUUUUUAAAUUAUGGUACAAUCGAUUUAUAGUAAAUUAUAACAUAUAGGAAUGGACAUAUCAAUUCCAGUAAGUCGACUACAUUGUUGUCUGAAACCAUUCAAGUUAUUGUAAUUAUUCUAGUGUGUUGGAUGGACUGACCACAGAAUAAAGCUAUUCUAUGACCGGUCAAGAAGUAUACUCUAUGUAUGUAUGUAUGCACACACUUAUUAAGCCUUGAUCCGAAUGAAUCACUGAAGAUAUUAGAAAGAGACAGCCACGACGUCCUGAAGCAGCCAGAAGCCAUGAGGAGGUUCCGUAAUAGCGCCAACUUUAUAGAAUUGCACAACGGUACUGGCCUCCAGAUCAAACAAAGGAGUCAAGGAACAAUAUAAUAUAUGAGAUAAAGCACCCAUAGCAGUACUGAAGCAAUGGGAUUGCAAUUGGGAGCUGAUGUCCGUCUACCAACCUUUUACUACAAGUUAAGCGUCGGCAAAUAAAUGGGCGUUGGGGAGGUAACAAGCUCAAGGGAUCAUACGAAUGAAUAAAAAUCAUAAACUGGAGUCCAUCACACAAGCAGCAACAUUGAAACAGACGAGCCUAAGGAAGGCUGCUAAUGGUCUGAGAACCGCUCCAAAAUCAAACCAUAAAUAAAAGAAAAUCCACACCAACCAACCCAUUACUCUUAUAUAUCUAAACCAAACUAACUCAAUAGUGUAAAAAAUCACAAACCAAACCAAAUUGCAUGUCUCAAACUGGUUCUAAGCCACUUAAAACCUAUUUUCUAUAUGUAUCAUAUGGUUAGCUUUCGAUGUUGGUCCACAUGUAGAUCUAGUAGAUUACCAAUUUGCAUGAAGUAGCUAACUAUCAUUUUAAGACAUCUUUAAUAAAUUUCAGUUAAAUUUGCUAAAAUUUUAAGGUGUGUACGCGAGGUUUUAGUUUUAGGAUCCACCUUUUAACGUGAGGCUCACAUGUAGAUUUAGGCACACUGAUCUGCAUGAAGUAGCUGACUGUCUGAGACAUCUUCAACAAAUUUCAUUCAAAAAAUUUAAAGUGUGAACAUGAGGCAGCAAGAAUUGGGGAAGCGGAGCUUGCUAAUAAGAUGAAAAAAGAAACUGAAAACCAAAGCAACAUCCUUGAUUAUAUUUCUGCCGUUGCAAACAAAGUACUGCGUUGGAAGGUCUAUUGUAGAGCUUCUGGCCGACAAAAAUAUACACAUAAUACGAUUUCAUUGCGACGGAUAAAAGUAGAUUGGGCCUCCUAUGGAUGCUGCAAAAGCUACCAGAGCUCUCUAUGACACCUGGAGCAAGAGACCUAUAGCUGCGAGUCAGAUUCAAACGCACUUGCCUCGUGUUCGUUGUAUAUUGCAAGACUCAUGGAUAUACUACAGAACCGAUCCGUAUUAUAAAUUGUUUGAUUGAUGUGCCGUGAGUUUGGUCUCGAAUCUUAUUUCUUUAUAGAGAUGGCAUUAGGUAAAGUAGGCCGUCAGCUCAUGCUCCUACGAUAGUAUUUCAAAAGAGAUGCUCACAUUAUGGCUAGGAAAAAAAUCCUAUAAAUUCUCGCAAAAAUUAUAAUGGCUCUGUUUAUAUCCGCUUAUUUCCCGCUUAUCGGUGGAAAUAAGCCAUAAGCCCACCCAAACGCUUUGAUUAUUUCCCUUUUGCUACGUAAGCCGCUUAGUGCACAAGCUGGGAAACAACUGGCGUCCGGCUUAUCCUGUACGCGGGCCGGGAGACGCUUCUCCAAUAAGCGAACAUAUUUUCCCCCCCGCUACCCUCACCCACCGACGCCUCCAGCCGUCCGCCCCCGCGCCUCCCGCGACCGCCGCCGGCUCCCGUCCGCCGCCAGUUCCCGUCCACCGCCGCCGCCCCUGCAGCCGACGCCGCGGCCGCAAAUCCCAUCACCGGGUGCCGUCCGCCGGGCUUGGCCCCCGCCGCCGGGCUUAGCCCCCGCUGCCGGGCUUGGCCCCUGGCGGCUUGGCCCCCGCCGCCGGGCUUGCUUGGCCCCUGCCGCCUUCCUCCUUUGCCCGCCUUCCUCCGCACCCUCACGGAGCACCAGGACUCCAUUGCAGGUUGGUCGCCGCACUUGCCGCCAAGACAAUUGCUACUCUAGUCUUGCUGCUCUUUGUUCAUUGUUUGUUCUUGCAGUAUUAUUGAAGUGCAAAAUCGGGGGAUUACUGUUGCUUUGGUUCUUGCAUUGUCAUCACUUGCUCUUAAUGCCGCACCCUUUGCUUGUUUAUGAAUAAAGCAAGUUCAUGUGUUAGAAGCUGCUUUAACUAGUUAUAUGAAAUUCGUAGUGAUUAAAUCUUAUUUCAUUGUACUAACUCUUUCAAGACACAACGGUAUUAGUUGUUAUUACUCCAUUAGAGAGGCCUCAUUCAUUGCUCUUGCUCUUCUGUUCAAUUUAUGUUCAGUAUUACAAUAAAAUUUCUCCAAUUGGUAAAGUCAGUUCCUUUUCACUGUGUUUAUGCUAAUCGAUGCAUACUUGUGGCUUUGUCUCUCUGUUCUGCUUUGCUACCGUACUGGUACUGUCUUAGGAAUGGUAAUACUACACAUUACUAUAGUAGUAAGAAUUUAGUUUAUCAUGCGUUAUUUUCUAUCAUUAACUGUACAGGAUACUACAGGAUAUAUUGUAAAGUAUUUGCUAUUCACAUGGGAUACUACAUAAUACUUGCAAAGUAUCUUGAUAGUGGAAUUGUAAUGAUCAUCCCCUUGAGUGGUCUAAUGUGUGUAGGGCCAGUACAGGCACUGCAUUGUUUCCUUCUGUGUAGGUACUUGAAGAUAGGUCGAAAGUGCCAAUGCAUUAAUUUGAUGUCUUAUAGGAAGUUGACAAUAGGCGGUUCGAAUGAAGUCAUUAAUUUAUUUUAUGUUCUGAUGAUUCAACAUAAUUACAUGGAGAACCAAGCCACUGUUAAUUUUUCUACGUAGAUUAUUUAUGAACAAUGUGGUCUUUGUCAGUAAACAAGCUUGUAGAUUUGUAUUUAAUUCUACAAUACUGUAAUCAAAUUUUAGAUGGGAAAGUCGUCAAAGAUUGUGGCAAAAUGGGAUUCAUUUGCCGCGAAAGCUUUCAAUGACAUUUGUGUGGAAGAAGUACUUGCUUUCAAUCGACCGCAGCAAUGUUUGAAUGCAGUGGGAUAUGCAAACUUUAUUAAAAAGUUUUAUGAGCAUACCAAGAGGCCAUACGGUGAGAGUCAAAUGAAGAAUAGGUGGGAUAUAUUAAAAAAUGUAUACCCAAUGGAAGACUUUGAACUUGAGAGCAACCGGAUUGGGAAGAGAUCCUAUUACUGGUUGUAUUGUGGUUGACGAUGAAUGGUGGGAAGAACAAAAUAAGGUGAGCCCACUAACAAUCCUACUAGAGAUAUAGUUCACAUACACGUUGUUUGUUUUUUUUUGAAUAGAAGGUAUAAUAGCAUGCUGUUUUGGUGAUAUUUUACAGGCUAUGCUAGGUUGUAUCCGGUUCAGAACAGCCCCGCUUGAAUAUGAGGAUCAGAUGUGAAUCAUGUUUGAAUCUGUCAUUGUUACAAAUGAAACUUCAUAUGUUCCAAGUGGUGAUGGAAACGUUGAUGUUGAUGAACAUGAUGUUGUUGAUGAUGGGGGCAACAGUGAUAGGGAGGCACAUAAGGCCCCAUCCAGUUCUGAGUGGAGGGCUCCAAAAAGGUCAGCUCCUAGUUCCCCUAAAGGAAAGAAGAAGAAGACUUUUAGAGACCAGUACAUGAAGCGUUUGGUCGAUGCAUAUGAGUUGAAAGCUCAAAGUAGUAAACAUUCAGCUACUUCACAAGUUGUUGAUCACGUUAGAGAUGAGAUUGGAAGUAUGUUGGAGCAAGUCAUUAAGGAUGGGGCUGAGGAGGGGAGUGAUGAACACUUCUAUGCCACACAACUUCUUCAAAAAAAGGAGAACCGUGAUGUGUUCAUUACAUUGAAGACACCAAAUGGGAGGUUGAAUUGGCUGAGGAGGGCUUGGGAGAUAAGGAAGAAGCACUAGGGUGUUGCAUUAGUGUGCCAUUUCUCUUAUGUUGUGUGAGACAUAAAUUCAAUUUUCUAAGUAUGCUGUGUGAGACUAUGAACCUUCUAUUAGUUGUGUUGUAACAAUAAAAAUUUAUCUGAUGACUUGGUUAGUGCUUUUUGACAGGCUUGCAUUUGUUUUGAUGAGUACCUCUAGUGCAACUAGUGAAUGUGAAGGCAACAGUGAUUAUGUUCAUACCAUGGAUGUUGAUGAAUCUGAUGAUACUAAUGAUGAUUACAUAGUGGCAAUGCUUGAUUUGGACUACAUGGCAUCAUCUGGUAUGAACAAGAAGAAGAUUACUACUACGAUAGUAAGGAUGACUGGAAUACAGUGGGUUGAGUUGCAACUACAAGAUCCAGUGGAGUGCUUUAACAUGUUCAGAAUGAGGAGGUCAGUUUUCUUAAGCCUUCAUGACACUUUGGUGCAAGAUUAUGGAUUGAGAUCAAGUAGAUAAUUUUGUAGCAAGGAAGCACUAGGAAUGUUUCUAUGGGCUUGUGGUGCACCUCAAUCUUUUAGGCAAUGCAAGAAUAAUUUCCAUCGCUCAUUAGAAACUGUGAGUAGAAAAUUUGAAGAGGUUCUUGAAUCUAUCAUGAGAUUAGCUGUUGACAUGGUGAGGCCUAAGGAUCCACAAUUUUCUACUAUUCAUCCUAAACUACAAGAAGCAAGGUUUUGGCCUCAUUUCAAAGAUUGCAUAGGAUCAAUAGAUGGUACCCAUAUACCCGUAACUGUGCCAUUAGCUGAUCAACCGAAAUACAUUGGUCGGUAUGGGUAUCCUUCACAAAAUGUCAUGGCGGUAUGUGACUUUGAUAUGCGGUUCACAUUUGCUGUCACUGGUUGGCCUGGUUCUGUCCAUGAUACUCGUGUAUUAUUGGACACGCUUCUCACAUACAAGGAUCAAUUUCCACAUCCUCCCGAUGGUAAGAACGAGUUAUGUUGCAAUUUAUUUUUCAGGGAAUAUUUUCUCAUUGUGAUAUAACAUAUAAAUAUAACAUGCAGGUAAGUACUAUCUUGUUGACUCUGGAUAUCCUAAUAGAAAAGGAUUUCUUGCACCCUACAAGGGAUAGAGGUAUCAUGUUUCUGAAUGGUAGCAUGGUCAGCAUCCGGUAGGAUUGAAAGAAGUGUUUAAUCAUGCACAUUCAUCCCUUAGAAAUGUGAUUGAGCGAUCAUUUGGAGUUCUAAAGAUGAAGUGGCACAUUCUCUUAAAUUUGCCCAGUUAUCCGGUUAACAAGUAGUCGAAAAUUAUAGUUGCUUGUAUGGCCCUUCACAAUUUCAUCAGAGAUAGUGCCGUAUAUGACGUGCAUUUUGAAGAGGAUUUUGAGGAAGAUGAUGGUAAUCCAACCCAACCUAGCACAGAUGGUGGUGGUGGUGCUUUAGGAGAUGACAUUGAUAUGGGUGCAUUGCGUGAUGCUAUUGCUGUCGUUAUGGUUUCGUGAUUCGUUGUUGUACCCAUGAUGGAUGUUUCCAUACUAGACCGAUCUAUCAUAUGAAUUUCAUAUUAUUGUAAUGUAAUUUCUAUUUAACGAACUCCAAAGGCAUUAGAAUUAUUAUCUUCUCCUCAGAUUCACAAUAAAAAUGAGCUAUUAUCAGCCUUAUGGGCAUUCAGGUUAAUUUACCAAUUAGGACAGACAAUCGACACAAAAUAAUCAGGAUUGCCAAACACCCUGCUUAUUCAGACAGCAGGCUUAUCAGAUAAGCUUGCUUGCCAGAUAAGCGAGUUCCAGAAAAGCAUAUAUAAACAGGGCCAAUAUCUAUCUAUCAAUUCGAUAGGCUCUAAUCCUUAUUGAUUAUAGUAGCUAUUAGAUCUAUUAUAUUAUAAAAACAUUUACCCUCCUCUACAAUUACAAAACUAAUAUAACUAAUAAGCUAAAUAAAAAUAUCUCAAAGUACACCAACAAUAUACGAUUCUAAAGCACUUUAUUUUUCUCGUUAUUAAUAUAUAAAACAAUAACUUAAUACAUAUAUGUGUGUCACUAUGUGCUACCAAUGAUCUCUAUGACCCUCUAAAAGAGAAAUGUAUAGCUGAAAAUCAGAUUCAAACACACUUGCCUACAGGAUCGAGGAGGUACACUGCUAAGACUCGAUCGAUACUACAUAUCUGAACAGUAUUAUAAAUUGCUUGACGUGACAUAUACUUGCAGUGAGUUUGUCUCAGAUCUUAUUUCCUUACAGAGACGACAUUUGGUUAGAGACGCAUUAGCUAAGCCAGCACCUAAGCCCAUAAGGCCGUAUAAUUUUGAGAGACAUAAACAUUUCAAAACUACGUAAUUUAAAAACAUCUUACUACUACUAAUUGAAAAUUUCUUUAGAUUCUCCACUUUAAUUGUCACCCGACGAGAUAGGAAAAAAAUAUAAAUGCUAAAAGUUCACAUAAAAUAAAAUUAUAUAUGCUCAUAAAUUCGGUACACUCUAAUCACCAUAGCCAUUGGAUCUAUUACAUCUUUAAAAGAAUUAUUCCUAUAGCUACAUAUGCCAUUAUGAAAAAUAUAUAGUACCCCUAAAUUUUAUCUAAAUUACUCACGUCUGCUAUUAUGAGAAAAAAAUUUAAAGGAACCCUAAAUAUUCAUCACCCACUUAUGCCCAACACGUCCUGGGAGCUAGGAUGGAGCGCGGCAACGCCUCAAUUGGGAGGAGGCUGGUGAGCACUUCUAGAAAACUGGUGCAGGGGGAGGGAACAAGAGCAGGAUGCGCACGGGAAUCGAGAAAUUAUGGGCAACUUCUUAUGGGGUGUUUAGGAGGAGGGGGCUAAAUUUUAGCCCCCGUCACAUCGAAUGUUUGGACACUAAUUAGAAAUAUUAAACUUAGAUUAAUUAUAAAACUAAUUACACAACCCCUAGGCUAAAUCGUGAGACGAAUCUAUUAAGUCUAAUUAGUUCAUGAUUUGACAAUGUGGUGCUACAGUAACCAUUCACUAAUGAUGGAUUAAUUAGGCUUAAUAGAUUCGUCUCGCGAUUUAGCCUAGGGGUUCUGCAAUUAGUUUUAUAAUUAGCUUAUGUUUAGUCCUCCUAAUUAGUAUCCGAACAUCCGAUGUGACAGGGCUAAAGUUUAGCCCUCUCCUCCCAAACACCCAAUAUAUGCCCAAAUAGCACUACAAGAAACACAUGUUCUGUUAUAGAUGAACUACCAUAUUCUAAAGCAAGUUAAUUGCGUACUAUACGUGAAACAUCCAAAAUGGAGCUAGCAUAGGACUAUGAACAUAGAGAGAACAUUUCCAACAGUUCUACCUUAUCAUUUUUUUCAUCAUUAGUUGCUUUAGUUUCAUUGUUGCGCAUGUCCAUUUGACAUUCUUAAUUUGAGUAUCCAACCAAAUCACUUCAUUGACUAAUUAUCAGUUAAAUUAAGGCUAUGAAGUUUGAUACUGAGCUAACUCUAGUGUCUGAUUUUUGUUCCAGCGAUAGAAAACUCAAUCUUUUGUCUAUCUAGUAUUUGGUGCUUGUUAGGUCGCUUGCCUAUCUAAAAUUUAUCUAGCACUUCUGUUCAUUUAUAAAACCUUAUGUAUGUUUCUUGGAGUCCAACAAUUGAAAGCUGUCGUGUACUUAUAUUUUUUAAUGUAGUUAAUGGACGGUGGAGGAAUCUUUAAAGGUUCAAAGAAGUGUUACUGUGUCUCUGGAGGGCUGCAUGGUGUUGGCUUGUUGGUCGAGAAAAUAGUCACAACCAUGGCUUUAGUCUUGAUUUUGGCCCAACCAGUCCGUGCUGAUAUGUUUGACGUUUUCAUGUAUGUGUAUUAUGCCUUUAUUUGAUAACAUAGUUAGCAAGUAUUAUAAGAGUUGCCUUGUUUGUUGGUAUUAGCCAUUAGGGAUACUAUCAGAAUACAUGUCCUUUGCUACGAUGAAUUUUUGUUCUUUUGAAAAUCGCGACCCCCAACCUGUGACGCUGGUAGUUUAUCUAAGAUGUUAAAUUAGUUUUGAGGAAAUAUUGAAUCUAAUUAGAAAGAAAGGUUUCUUGUUCCAAUUUUGUUUGGAAAAAUAACCAUCAGUUUGCAAAUUAGAAAUGUGGAAGCCUAUAUAUUAUUUUGCAAAUUAGAAAUGUGGAAGCCUAUAUAUCAUUUUGCAAAUUGGAAAUGUGGAAGAAGACGUCGGUUCCAAAUUUUAAAUAUAUAUCUGGCCCCAAAGAGCACUGCUUGUUUUAUUUGGACACGCGGUAAAAUUGGACAGAGGAUUGGGUCACUAUAGGAGAGGUAUUUUUUUAACUUUGUAUCUAAAAUCCGUUAUUGGGAGUAUUUUUUAGGCACACUUGGAGAUACUCUUUGACUAUAGGUGCAGAUUCCACUCCAUGACCCCCCAUACAUAUGUAUGUCGUGAACUUUGCUAAUUAUGGACUUUAGGUCGUGAUGGCACUUUCAAAAGAUGUUGGAGCCUUGGAGGCAUCACUAAUAACUCGUCUUGACAAGGAUAGUAUCAUGCGUAAUAACUAGAUGCCACCUAGCUAUUAUAUGUUAUCAUCUCACUCGAUCUGUUCAUGUUUUUAAAAGUUGAUUUGCAUCUGGUUUAGUACCCAGCAUUGGGUAUGUAUCUGUUCCCAUUGAUGAGUUGAAGGCAUGGAUCAGCGUUGAACAAAACGAGCAUUGGCUGUAUGUAUCGGUUCCCAUUGAAUCAGCGUCGGCAGAUAAAUGUGCGGUGGCAAGGUUCCUAGCUCCAGGCAUCGAAUGAAUGAAUAAAACAUAAACUGGAGUCCAUUUCACAAGCGUAGCAACAUUGGAAGCCGUUGGAACAGACAGGGAAUGCAUUCGAUCAUGUCCUCGGCAACAUGCAUUUCCUGCUGUGUUUACUCUACGGAUGAAAAGAAUGUAUAUUGGAGGUGAUGGAUAUGCACAAGUAUACAGCCGGCCAGAUGGAAUAUAUCAUAUAUGUGCCAAUACGAUUCAGGAGGACAGAGGUGGGGAUUCCUCCUCAAUCUCGUCCUUUGUCUGUCCCUCCGUCCUCCAAGCUCGCUUCCUCAAUCUCGUCCUUGAUCUGUCUUCCAACCACCAGCGUGAAUUGAUCGAUUUUGUAAAUGACGCAAAGUGGCUCAAUAUAACGGAGUAGUGCGUGGACAAAAAAAUGUUAAAUAAUCAUAUAAAAUAGAUCCAAUUGUAGACAAUGUGACAUGCCUGCCUAUUAAAUGGAUUGCCCAACAAGGCAGAAGGGGCAGUUUCCUCUGCUCGUGUAGUAUUAGCCAAAGCAAGCUUGUUCGCAGUCAGAAAACGCCAAUGUCAUUUGCACGGAACUCCCCAUCUACAUCUACAUGAUCAUACAAGUUGCAGUACAUACAACCUAACAGUAAAUAAAUACACGCCAAAACAGUAAUUUGGAUGAAAAUUCUGAACUUGAGAUGGAGACACAUAGUACCGUAUAAGGUGAAGUUGCUAUCCUUUUUGUCCCGCAGUACAAGGGCGGGGCACUUUGCUGCUGGAUCAAUGUGGAACCGCUUAGCAAUAUCAGAACUUAAAGUCAGGUAAACUCCGACACCAUUUUCGAUCUUGGAUGCAAUAGCAACAAGCUCAUCAUAGUAAGAAUCCUAUAGUAUUUGGGGGAAAAAACAGUUCCAGGAAUUAAAAUAGCCGCCUAAGGUGCAAACAUGCAAGUUCAUUAUGUACCAUUGUAGCUCUCUCUCAGUCUAGAGACCUGGGUUCGAGCCCUGCAUCUUCUUAGGGCACUCGCAAUGGGUGACGUUAGUCUCUCUGCAAACCUCCAUGUAGGAAAGAGGAACGAGGAGAGAGAAUGGCGAGAGCCGCUAGCAUGCACUCUAGUGCUGAGCGGGCCCACCACGUGCUCAUCCUUUCUCCUCUCUUUCUUCCUUUGCCUCGCGGUCGUCGGAGAGCGCUGGGGUGGAGGCAGAUCAUGGCAGCGAGGCGGAACGGGGGCCUAGCAUGGGCGACUUCCGGCGGAUGAAGGCAGUCCUCCUCAAAUUUCAGGUCUCAUAUUACCCCCGAGAAGUCUAUCCUACUUGUCCAGACCUUCCCAUGCCGACUCUACAACACCACCCCACGCCCUCCUCGUGUAUGGGACCAAACCAAGAGGGUGUUGAGAUAAUGAAAUCAAUAUUUUAAGCAAUGAAUAGUGUAAAAAUAUCUCAGCUAGCUCUAGGUGAAGAGCUAAGUUCGCAUAUCUGCUGAUGCUCUUCUCUUGCACUGCACCAGCCUCGAGGUGUCCUCUUGUCUAAAUUACUUUUAUUUUUCUUUCCCAUAAACUAGCAGCUAUCUUAAAUUGUUGGAGACGUCCACGCAAUACCCCACGCAAUACUUGGACAGAGCAUGCGCCAGUUGCGAUUCGCCUCUCUUUCUUUUGCUCCUGUUCCUCCUGAUGAUGCAGCUACUUUUUGUAAACAACCUGCUACUGCUGCGGCUGCUUUUUUCAAAUAACUUGUAUCUGUUUCCCUGCAACCUGUGCGCUCCUCUGCCUUGCUCAAGGUAUAUAUCCUGCUGCUCCAGCUCCUGCUCUGCUAGUUCGCGUAACCAUGUCUCGCAACGUACCACAUCUACACAGCAAUGGAUCAUACUGACAACAGUAGAAGAGUGGCAUUAUUACAUAGUAGCAGUAGUGCAGUACAACAUAAAUUUGAGCGGCAACAGUAGACGAGUGGCAUUAUUACAGGCUGAUUGCAGUACUCAAGCAAUGAAACAGACAAGCCAGUAAGGUAAACAGGAUGCACGUCCUCAGCAACAUGCAAUUCUUCUGUUUUUAUUCUACGGAUGAAAGAAACAUUAUAAGAUACAGCCGGCUGGAUGGAGUUUAUAUGUAAAUAGGAUUGAGGAAUCACGACUGCUAUGGGAUUUCCAAUAAUAUUUCAACAUAGUCCUCGUUCUGUUCAUCAGUCUCGUCCUUAUCGGUCUGUCCUCCGCGUCGUCGCUUCUUGUUCACAGACAAAAAAUCGGCAAUGGCAUAUGCACGGAACGGCCCAUCUACAUGACACAUAUACCAUUAUUACAUGCAACCCAGCAGUAAAUACAUGCCAAAAAGUUGAGGAAAAUUCUGAACUUGAGAUGAAGAACACACGUACCAUAUAUGGUGAAUAACUUCUCCUCCUGUUUCUUCAGCAGCACUAGACACGGGCGCUUUGCUGCUGGGUCAAUGUUGAAUAGCUUAGCAGCAUCAACACUUGUAGUCUGGUAAAAGCUGAGAUCAUCUUCCAGCUUUGAAGCAGCGGCAAGCUUAUCGUUGUAAGGACCCUGUCACAUUUGGGGGGAAAAAUAAUUCCAAGAAUUAAAAUAGACUUCGAUGUCUAAACAUACAAGUUCACCAUCUACUAGUUCUUGCUCAUCCUAGGUCGUCUUCAUCGUCCUUCACCCCAUGGAAAGUUACUAUAAUAACAUAUCCAAAAAUGAGUGUGGUUUCGUUCGGGAUCUUACUAUUACUAAUUGGAGGCUCCUUUUGAAACCUCCAGGUGAAGCCACCUAGGACUCCAGGUGAAGCCACCUAGGAUUCCUAGGUGGACACUCUAGAAAAAGAGAAAUCCUAGAAAUUCGCACAAAAAAGCAAAACACCCGACCAUCAAUCCAUAGAUUCAAAUCAUCAUAGCCAUUGGAUCUAUUAUGUUUUCUAAAAAAAUUACCCACCUAUGCCAUUAUGAAAAUAGCAUAAAAUAACCCCCUAAAUCUAUAUAUAAAUUACCCACCUCUGCCAUUAUAUAAAAUAAACUAAAGUAACCCCCUAAUCUUCAUCAAAAUUACCCACUUAUGCCAUUAUAAACAAUAUUUAAAAUAACCCCCUAAUUUGCAACUAAAUUGCCUACCACUAUUACUUAAAAAACUUAAAGUAACCCCUUAAAUUUGCAUCUAUAUUACCUACACAUGCCAUUUAUUAAAAAUAACAUGAGGUAACUCUACGUUUGAAUCAAAUAACCUUAAUUAAAAAUAUAUAGCAAUAUAUUAUUCUAAAUCGUUUAUAUUUUGCACUAUUGGUAUACGAUAUAAAAUUAAGGAUACGAUAUAAAAUUAAGGUCUACACGCAUGAGGUGUGUCACCAUUUAUAAGGAUAUAAAGUGAUGAGAAUAUAGAUUUCUAUGCUAAAAUUGUAUCUCAAACUUAAGGUUCAUUAAACAAAUUUAAGCGCAUACCUACGAUGCAAAGUGAAAAAUUAAAGAUUAUAAAUGUGGAUGAAAAUAUUAUAGAGUAAUUACUAACUAAAAUCUAUCACAAUUGGAUGAAUAUUUAACAAACGAGAGCUAGCUUAUGGUAAUAGUUUUUUAGCAAUGUAGUCUCAUUUUUUUCCAUUGGAGGCUCCGCGUUAGUUCCCACGAGACAAGCUAGAAAAAAGAGACAAAUUAUCAUAAAAAUUAAAAAUGUCAAACACUAUUAUAUUUUCUAAAAAGUUACCCACCACUAUUAUUGUGAAAAUAUUCAAAAACGAGCUCUAAACGUAUAUUUCAAUUAUUGAGCUUAGCUAUUAUAAAAAAUAAUCUAAAGUAACUCCAUAACCUUCAUCCAAUUUACUAAUACACAUCAUUAUAAAGUAUAACUUAAAAUAUCAUUCUAAAAUUUUAUUUAUCUAUGUUAUCCACGUAUGUCGUUAUUAAAAAUAACCUAAAGUAAACACCUAAAUCUUAAUCUAAUUAUGUUCAUGUGCAUCAGAAAUAUCAAAAAGUAAAUUAAUAUAUGAUUUUAAAUUACCUAUUUAUGUCAUUAUUAAUAUAAAAAUACUAAGUUAAAGUAUAUACACAUGAUGAGUGCCACCAUUUAGACCAUUUAUACAUGUAUGUGAGGAAUCGAUGAAAAAUAUUGAUUUGUAUGCUAAACAUAAUGUAUGGAGGAUUGGAGGUGUGAUACAAAAUAGAAAAAAUAUGAAUAUGGAUGAAAAAGUGCAUUGAGUAAUUAUUAAUUAAAAACCAAUCACAACUGAACAAAGAUAGGUACAUAUCUAUAUAAGUAUUAUGUUGAAAUAUUAAAAAAUAAGAGAGUAGUAGGUAAACAAUUUUGAUUAUUAGCUAGGAGUUUAAUUUCUAAAUAAUUUUUAAAUACAAUAGCUUCUAAAAAUAUUAGCCCAUGCGGGAGCACGGGUUGAUGGACUAGUGCACUUAAUUAGUAUAGCAUGCAUCAUCAUUUUUUUUAACUGAAUACUAAGUGGAUUUGAAAAGGGAAAGGUUGAGCAGGAAUUUCACACAACAAAGAAAGGAAGUAGUAUUUGGCUGCAUUGCAUUAGGGAUCGGAGUAGGGUUUGCAGAUGACAGGCGAUGGCAUUACCGAAGAGGCGAAGAAUAUUAAGUAAUAAUGCAAAGAAGAGAGAGUAAGGGAUGGUACGUAUAGGGAAUCGAGGAAGGCGAUGACGGCUUGGUCAUCCUCGGCGAGUAUUCUCUUAGCGUCAUCGAUGGUGAUGAUGUUCUGCGGGCCCUUCGGAACUUUGGUAGUGCUGGUACUGUUCCAUUCUUUCCACUCGCGGAUGUCAAGGUGGUAGAGCAAGGCCCAGAGAUGGGUGAUGAACUCACCACCACGCUGGAGGUGCCGCAUGUGCGCCUCAACAUUGCCAUAAGGCGCGGCGUAGACCAACAUCCGGACCCACAUAAGCGCCAGCGUCUCCCAGUGGUCCGGGCGACUUAUACCUUCAACAAGCGGAGGAUCAUCACUGAGAAGCCGCUUUGCUAGAUCCACGCCAUCCAAAAUAUAAGGAUCCUCGGGGUACUGGUCUAUCCAUUUAGCUUUUCCUUGGGAUAUUGAAUAAGAUGCUUGAUCUGUCCAACUUUUAGGGUCUGACAGUGCCUCGAGGAAUGCAUCCUUCUCCUUGUCCAGAGAUAUGCUUGCCGACUUCGCAAAGUCAUUGUAGGCGCGCUUCGUCGCCAGGGCCGGCCCAGGAAGUAACUCUGGCGCUGACACCACUAAGUAAGCGCAAUACUUGGAUAGAGCAUUGGCCACGCGCCGAUUCCGAUUCUCCUCCCUUUCUCCUCUUCCUCCUCCUCCUGCAUCUUUUUUGAAACAUCCUGCUAUUGCUGCAGCUGCUUUUUUCAAAUUACUGGUAGCAGUUUCCCUGCAGCCUAUGCGCUCCUCCGCCUUGCUCAAGGCAUCUUGCUUCUCCAGCUCCUGCUCUACUAGUUCGCAGUACCAUGUCGCAAUGUGCCACUGCAUUAUAUACUUCGUAUAUUUGUAACCAUGCGAAUUCCAGUAAUCCUGAGGUGUAUUUGUGCCAUCAUCGCGGAAGGGAAGGUCUAUGCUAAUUGGAUGCUUUUUACGAAAGGAUAACCAAUUCGUAUCUACUCUGUCGGUCUUGAUCUGAUGAAGAAAAUCAAUAACGUAACCCUUCACAUCAUCGUCCAACCUGACGGUGGUUCUUUUGUUGGUGUCGCUGCCCAACAAGUCCCAGAGAACCUCCCCGAUGUAGUCCAAUCCGAGCACCUUGACCAAGCGAUGAGAGCAUUUCUGGUAAAGAUGGCGAACCAUGGAUGUUAAGCUGCUAAGUAACUUGUUCUCAGUCCUGCUUCUCCCUUCACCCUCUUUUUUCGCGGUUAAUCUCCCUUCAGGUAGUAGUGAAUACUGGCCGAUCUUUUCUUGCCACAGGUACUUGUCAAACCAAUUACUGCUGGUAGCCACAAAAGCUUUCAAUCCCAUCCACCGUCGCAACCAGUAUGGCGUCUCGUUUUCUCUGAACCCAUCUAUACUGUUUCUAUCCGCGGUGAAUACUUGGUUCCUGGCAUACGCGCAGGCAAUAGCCACCCUUGCCCAGUUUGAUGUCCAGCACCUAAUCAAGUGCAUCAACUGCAACAGAGCCAGGGACACCAAUAUGACAAAAGUGACAACAAGAUCUGCAGUCGUGGUGCCCACAACGUUGAUGCAACCACCAGGACCAGAAGCAAUAUGACGGCUACUCAAUGUCCCAGGAAUGGCAGCUGCUACCCCCACAAAACAUAUCCCAAUAAAUGAAGCCAAUGCCCAUAAACUAGCAGUUUUCGCCUGGUAGUAGUGAAGGAAUGGAUUACCAGUGAAGAAGACAUCGAACAGAAGAGCCAACUCAAUCUCAAUCACCUUCAAGGCCCAGUUGCAGUCAAUGUUCUUCAGGUUUUGCGGAUCUUUCACAGGAUAGCUCAACCCAAGAAAAUGCCGUUGCAACCUAUGAGACAGAAACAUGGCAACGCACACAUCGUAACAGGGCUGUAGCCACUCAUACUUGUUUCUCCUUAAUACCACUUCUAUUAGAUCCAAAGUGACACCACCCCUCCCAUUAAUGUAAAUUCCAAAAUCGACGAUCAUAUUAGAUCGUUCAAUUGGAUGUAUGUCGGGAUUAUUUUUUAAAACAUAUGUUUGCUCCGGACCUUUAUGCAUAGUUUGAACCAUGUUUCGCAUUCUGCUUUGUUGCAUAAGAGCCAGUGACCUAUGAAAUCCCUUGAUGAAAGUGAUGGCAGCUAGCCCGCCGAUGGCCGUGUUACCAACAACACUGGAGAUGGUUGAGAUACUCAUCAGCAAGACAUAUCCACAAUUGAGGAAAAUCCCAAAUACCACCUUUGAGAGCGGGCCCUUGUAGUCAAGACCGUUGUACGCGGUGACUGGAUCAAUGCAGCCAAAAAGGGUGAACAAAGACACUGUCCAUAUGGGAUACAUCUCGCUCUUCACCGACGAAGAUUGCAUUAGACCAAUGCUGUAGGUCCCAAGAGACAGAGAUAAUACAUGUGCAGCAAAAAAGCCCUUUUGGACUAUCCAGCGAUUGGACCAGCGACGGCAUGACCCAAAAGCAGCAAGGAAGAAAGUGAUGAGAAUGGCCACAACUGCCAAUGCCUGGAUACGGAGUACUGUCCCCCUUGGGCUGUUCCACAGUUCUCUUAGAUGAUGCAUGGAGGUUACUGACGUUGUAUUCCCCAAGUGCUGCACCAUAUUUCCCAUGCGGCGAUAAUCCACCUAAAUAGGACAACACGCGUGCUAUAAGGAAGGGUGAUAACAUAUAUAGAUAACCACAAAAAUCUUUUAUAUAUGGUCAAUUGGCCAUGCAUGUCUGCCUGCACGGAUGAGCCGACAGGGAUAGAUUUUUCUAUAUAGUAAUGCACUAACAUGUGUUGUAUGUUUUGCUAAUUAAUUGUGCAAACUCACGGGGACCUCUAUUUUGACCUCUCUUCAUACUUCCAGCAAGCAACUCAAUAUUAAGAUAUAUAAGGAAGGGUGAUAACAUAUAUAGAGGGUUUCAGGAAUAUAACAUGAGAAAAAGCAGACUUAUUAUUAGCGCCACUAGUCCAUCACCACGUGCUCUUGCAUGGUUUAAUAAUUUCAAGAGGAAUGAGUAGUAGAAAUUCAUAAAAAAAAAUUAAGAUCCAUAGACAAUAACAAAAAUUGUCUCCCUUGUGUGUGUGCUCUCUCUCACUUGUUAAAUAUUGUAACUCAAUAUUUAUAUAGAUAUGUACUUACUUACACGUUAUGGUAGACUAUAGUUAAUAAUUGAUCUAUACACUUUUCAUCCACAUUUAUAGUUAUUUUCACUAUCAAUCGCACACCUCCAUAUGUGUUUAAGUGAACCCUUAGUUUGAGCACUGUGUUUAAAUGGAAAUAGGUGUUCUCCUCGCUCUCUCCGUACAUAUGUACAUGGUUUAUAUGGUUACACACAUCUUUGUCACACCCUAAAAUUUCCAUGCUGAGUUGAGAAUAGAUAACACCAAAUAAAAUAAAGGGUUUUCUAGUUUCUUUAGAACUUUCCAACCUUUAGUUGUUUAUUACUAUCAACUAGGAUAGAGAAAAUAAAAUUUUCAAAUCAACAGUUGCAGGGUGUUGCAUUCAUGUUGCCUCUGCAUGGUAUUUAUGUUUGAAAAAUUGAUUUCAAAAUUCAAAUAAGAUGAAUGAUACCACUAAUUACAAAAGGCUAUUUUUUAGAAAUGAUUUUCAAAAAUAGAUUUUAAUUUAUUUUCCAAAUUAAUUUAUGACAUCACACAACCUUUUUUGAAUUAAUUUGUAUUCGAAAUGUCAAAUUUGCAUUUUAACUCCCCAAACUUCAAAAGCUUAUAGGGAUUCUAAGGACUGGUUCUUGAAGCCUGUAAUCCAGCUUAACAACACAACAUCAUUAUGGCUCUGGACCUGAAUAAUUCAUUAGCUUCCCAAUUAUGUACAUUAAUUGUCAGAGAGGUUGCACGUGGCAAGCAAUGUACAAGAAGGGGGCCUAAAUUGACAAAUCCGUAGUAGGUGUACAGAUUGAGAACCACACCUUUUUAAAAGUCUUUAAGUGUAACCUUGGCUGAUCACUCGCCAAUGUGAAGUGAAAUGGGAUCAUGCCUCAUGGAUAAUGAUGUGCGACCUUUUCAUAUUGUAAAAUUAAUAUAUCAAAUGUGCUCACGGUCAAGAGCUUCUUAUACUUCUUGUCAGAAGCGGUGCUUAGGUUGGUUGGUUUGGUAGUAGUUUGCACAUAUGGAUUUCUAAGGGUUAAUUAUGGAUUAGGUGGUGAUAAAAUCCAGUAUUUAGAGCUAAGGAUUUUGGAUAAAAAAUAGGAAAUGUUGCUUAAGCAUGUGUUAAACACAAAAGCCCUUCUAAUCUUAUCUUCAUGUCGUUUUUUUACCAAACUUGCGAAGUACAAUUCAUUAUACUCACUCUUUGUUUGUCUCACUGCCACCUGCUCCAUAGACCUCAGCAAUUAUGUAAAAUUCACGAAAGAUGACAACUUCGAUCCAGAUGCUCUGUUCUAGGCUGGUGUACUCGCAGUCUACUGCAUGUGGAGAUAGAGACCCGUUCCGCUAAAUACUAUAAUAUACCCAUGUACAUUUCUUUGGGACACAUGGGUUAUUUUGUAAUGAAGUUUAGCAUUUACGUAAUACUAUAAUAUAAUAGCAAAGGUGGGUAAUUUAGAUAUAGAUUUAGGAUGAUAGAGGUACAGAUUCAACGGAAUUUAGUUCAUUUCAGUAAUUUAUUUGAGAGCUUUUCUUUUUUGAAAACGUGAUAAAUCUAAUGACUACGAUCAUAUAUAGAGCUGAGUCUAUAAGAGAUUGGUGGCUGGAUUUUCUUUUUGAGAAUUUUUAGACGCAUCCUCGUGAGAAUUAAUAAUAUAAAACUCCGAAUGAACUUCGGAAUGGUAAUAGUAAGGUUGGACAGUGCGUUGGUCACAACAGCACUGUCCGAUUCCACAACUAACGGUUUUUUUUGGAUCUGCGCAAUUGGAUCAUGGAAUUCAGGUUGAACGAAAUCUCGACCGUAACCAGAACCCAAAUGAAUAAUAAUAAAAAAGAUAUUAUUGGUACUAAAAAAGGACUUAGCUUGUUAAAGAGAAAAGAUAGCUCCAUGCGUGCUGCCAACAACUCAGGAAGAUUUAUUUCAAACAAAGUGGUGCGUUUUAGGGUCCAUUGCAGGGCUUCUUCCCUCAGACAAAAAUACUUUUUCACUGAGAUAGAUAAUAAGAUAGUUUCGAGUCACGUACCAUGGCUUCGCAGCUUCGCUUUUCUCUUCGAGGCAGAGUUGAGCUUCCCCUGUUGCGCAGGAGACGGCGACUCCUUUCGGAAAGGCUAGAGGCCGGCGACCUCCUUUUGAUGCUGCAGAAGCUAAGACACCUUGAGCAAGAGACGUAUAUAGCUGAAAGUCAGGUUCAAAAGCACUUGUCGCCUCGUGUUCCGUGUAUUGCAAUUGCAAUAUCGAGAUCUGGUCCGUAUUAUAAAUUGCUUGAUUUGCAGGGAGUUUGAUCUCGGAUCUAAUUUCUUUACAGAGACGACAUUAGUUAAACUAGCCCAAUCAGGUCGUGCUUAUGGAGGAAGAACAUGAUGGGCGGUUGAUGAUGUCGAAAAUGUGUAUAUUUUUUUGACUUGACAUGUACCGUCCCAAGCGAGUCCUCAAAGUAUGUUAUCAUCUCACACGGUCGUGCAUCUGAGCUCUUGUUUUCAAUGGUUGAUUGGCACCUGUCUUUGGUUGUUUGUAUCAGUUCCCAAUUGAUGAGUUGAAUAUCGUGAUCGGCAUUUGAAUAUCUCACAACUUGUAAGGUUAAGUUUUUCACACUGUUGACACGACACAACGACCAGAUGUAUACACACUGACACUGGCCGGCUCCCAUGUUAUCGUUACGAGGACUUUUAUUGCAUAUCUCGUGAGCCAAGCUCGAGGAAUCCUUUUGUAUCCCGCGGGACAGGCUCAAUAGCUAGCGCAGGCAACCAAUCAACCUAAAGCUGCAUCCCGAGAGCCUGAUUCGCCUGCCAUGCGGGGAACCAAUCAUCCCCUUAGUGUACUUCUAGCUUCUGCAAGCGAGAGGGACCCUCUCACGUACUGUUCGUUGUUGGCAGUAUGAUGAUUAGCGUGUUUUAGUUCGAUCGAUUUCCAGAACUCACAGUCGAGGAGAUUAGCCCCUGAACUCAGUAAGCUGGUGGACGUUAACCAAACUGCUUUCAUCAAGCAACGGUCUAUUCACGAUAAUUUCAAAUUUGUUGAGCAGGCUGCUAGGACUUUGCACAGAAAAAAGAAACCCUCCUUGCUGAUCAAACUGGAUAUUGCAAAGGCAUUCGACACAAUAAGUUGGCCCUUCUUGCUGCAAGUGUUAGAAUCCAUGAGUUUUGGGCUUAGGUGGAGGAAUUGGAUAUCAAUCCUUAUCUCAUCAGCCUCUACGAGGGUACAGCUCAAUGGAAGACCAGGACCCAUAAUUCAUAAUGCUAGAGGUUUAAGACAGGAUGACCCACUAUCACCAAUGCUCUUUAUUCUCACCAUGGAAGUCCUCAACCGGCUACUGAAGAAAGCUGCCCAGGAUGGUGUCCUUGCCCCACCAGCUGACAAUGCCAUACAUUACCAAUGCUCUAUCUAUGUUGACGAUGUGAUUCUCUUCGCAGCACCAAGUGUUCAGGAUGUCACCACUAUUCAGGAGGUGCUCAGGUUCUUUGGACGAGCAUCUGGACUUCAUACUAACCUGGGCAAGAGCUUGAUAACCCCCAUCUCAUGUUCACAGGAACAGCUCGAUAGAAUUCAGCCUAUCCUACCGAUCCCUAUCUCAGAUUUCCCCAUCCUUUAUCUGGAGCUACCUCUAUCAGUCACGAAACUGAAGAAAUAUCACUUUCAACCUUUGAUUGACAAGGUUUCAGCAAGCAUGCCCGCUUGGAAGGCACCUUUAAUGAAUAAAGCCGGAAGGCUUACCACAGUGAAGGCGGUAAUGAGCUCGAUCACAGUCCAUACCAUCAUCUCUUUGAAAGUUCCAGAAUGGGUAUUGCAGGAAAUCAACAAGAGACGUCGGGGCUUCCUCUGGGCCGGCAAGCCUGCAGCGUAUGGUGGCCAUUGCUUGGUGGCCUGGCCAUAUGUCUGCAGAUCGCUCGCUUAUGGAGGGUUGGGCAUCCCCGACUUGCGCAUCGCAUCGCUAGCCUUGAGAAUGAGGUGGCUAUGGCUGAAGAAAACGGAUCCCGGGCGUCCAUGGAAAUAUAUGCAGCUCGACUUCGAACAGGAUAAUGAUCUGAAAAAACUGUUCCAAGCUUCAAUUCAGGUACAAGUAGGAGAUGGCAACUUAGCGUUGUUUUGGGUCGAUAACUGGAUGGGUCAAGCCUCGCCGUGUACCUUGGCUCCGGAAUUGUGCAACUUGAUCAGGCCACGAAUCAAGAAUCGACGGGCAGUAGCGCAGGGGAUGCACCAAAAGCAAUGGAUUCAUGAUAUUGUCGGACACCUAACAAUAACUGCGUUAACUGAAUACGUCACCUUAUGGCAUCACUUACACCAGGUUCAGUUAAUGCCCGGGGUCGAAGAUUCGGUGACUUGGAAAUGGGAUAUCUCUGGUUCUUACUCCUCUAAAUUGGUAUGCAAGUUCUUCUACAGCACCUCCGUCAAGUUUGCCACAGUGGAACCGAUUUGGAAGGCUUGGGCACCAUUGAAAGUGAAGGUAUUCAUGUGGUUAGCUGUCAAGAAUCGGCUCUGGACAGCUGCUAGGAGGCAGAGGCGAGGAUUGCAAGAUCAUGCGCGUUGUGGCCUGUGUGACCAGGAAUCAGAGACUGCAGAUCACCUCUUCUCCAGGUGCCCAUUCUCUAUGCAAGUGUGGCAUCGAGUCAGUGCAGUACUGAACCUGCACAACGCCAUCCCAGCAAAUGAAGUCGGACUGCUAGACUGGUGGCUCAGCAAGAGAAGCGGUGUCCAUUCCGGACAAAUGAAAGGCUUCAACUCAGUGUUUAUGCUUGUUUCAUGGAAAAUAUGGAAGGAACGCAAUGAAAGGGUGUUUGCAAGAUCACCACCAAAGGAUGCCUCACAACUGCUGUAGGAGAUCAUUCAGGAAGGGCAAAUCUGGUGCGCCUCUGGUGCAAAACACCUAGCUGCCAUAGGCUGGCCGAUACCAUCAGGUGUUUUAGAUCAGCAUUUCUGAUUUCGGCCUUUCUAUGCCAUUUGUGUUGUCGUUGCGGUGGUGUAAUGUAAGCUAAAAUAUGCCUAAACCCGUGUGCAUGCGCCCGGAUAGGCCCGCGAUGUACAAAAACUUUUUUCUUCUUAAUACAAAGAUACGCAGCUCUCCUGCGUAUUCACGAAAAAAAAA
rnacentral:lncRNA from 1 species